CCAACUCUAUAAAUUCUACAGUGUGAAACUCAUCCGGCUCAGCUAUGAGUCAACAAUAUAUCACUGAACUUGUGCUUUAUCAGAAGUUGAGCCUCUUCAACUAGCCUCUUUACCACCUCCCCUGCAGGUAAAAUUUCCUUGAUGAGGCCUACACUUUGGCCAGCAUACAUCACCAUGCUUUCAAUGUCACCAGUUGCAGUCACAUUUGGAACAGUACCGGCAAGACGACGAAUUUCUAUUUCCUGUUGGAGAACAUAACCCAGAAAUUGUUAAUGGUUCAUGGCCUGUAUCUUCAAAUAAAGUAGAUGCUUUACUUGUCAAUUAUGACAGGAUUUCAUUCUCACCCUAUCAUGUAUCGUCGAAUGACCGAUGACGGGCUGAUCUGCUUCAUUCUGAUGAGGAGGAAGAGAUUUCCAAUCAUUGAAGAAUGGUGUAUACAGAACGCGAUGCGGCGCUCCAGGCCACCUUGCACGCCCGAAUACAUCAGUGUACUCAGUUCUGUCAAAUUCAACCAGCUUCCUCUUGUAUGUGGGAUGAGCACGGCUUUCCUGAGUUGCAAGAAACCUGUAAUAUAAUGAGAACAAUCUUAUAUAUCAACCAAAAUCAAUAAAGAUAAAACUUAAGUUUGAUAGAUGAUAAAAAAAGUUCUCAAACUGUGAUAGUUCAGAAUGUUUUUCAUAAGUUGAACUAUAUAAAGAUGGAGUAUAUGAAACCUAGUGCCUAGGCAGACCCCUUGAGCACCAAGGGCCAGAGCAGCAACAUAUCCACGGGCAUCCACUAUACCACCGGCCGCGAUAACAGGUAUAUCCCGAUCUCCAACAAGAUCAGCUACCUUGGGCAACAAUGAAAUCAAAGCAUCCUGUAAUAUAUUAACAAUAGAAAGCACAUGGAUGUCAACACUUAUCAGUAAAUCCUUAGACAAAAAAUCAGGCAACAGAUAAGCAAAGAACGAAUAAAACACAAAAACACGAAUGUGAAGCAGCAGUGCCAAACCAUAGAGUUCUUUCUGGGACAAGGUCAAAGGUUUUAGUUCAAGACAUUGACACUCCAAAGAAAACAUUUCGAUGCAUAUAUAAUCUUAUCCAGGUGACAUAUGCAAAAAGGGAUAUUUGAAACAGAAAGAAACUCAUCAAAGAACAGAUAGUUUCUUCUCUUCUUUUUUGUUUUACUUAUAAAUAUUAACACAGCGUGAUAACAGAUAAUGAGCUAUCUGUUAAUACAUUUGAUUGCUUUAACUCUAUCUAGCGCUUUGUUCUUUUGGAGUCAUUGUUUCAAAGAAGAGGUAAACCAUCCCGAACCGAAAUUUUCAUUCUUUCAUACUAUGUUUUAAUGUUAUUUUAUAUUCCAAGUGAAAAAAUACAGAGCAAUCAGAUACAACUACCAUUAACUCUAGAAGCGAAAAUGUUCUAAUGCUUUUAUAAAGAAAAAACACUCAUACAUUUGGAUCCCAGCAAAAGCUCUCACCUGACUGAUCACAUGCCCUCCUGCUUCACGCCCUUGAACAAUAAUUGCAUCUACACCAGCAUAUAUUGCUUUAUUCGCUUCGUCCAAGCUACCAACCUGCAAUGGAAUUAUAUGGAACCACUACUACAAAAAGUGAAAAAGACGACCAGAAAACAACGACGGUCUAAGUGAAAACCGUCGUGGUUUAUAAAAAGACGACGGUUCUAAAAGCACCGUCGUGUAAUACAACCUUAGACAACUAAAAAAUGGAGAUUCAAAUGGCUGUUCAAAAACAACGACGUACAUAAUUAAACAACCGACGUCUAUUUGAAACAGAUUUCCGCAGUGUAAAAUCAAUGCCAACAAAGAACGACAGAAGUUAUGAAUCGACCGACGUAGAAAGUAAAGACGAUGAUUUCAAUAAAAACUGCCGUUUUUACUCAUAAAAUAACACGACGAGGUUUUCGUAUAAGACGCCGUAUAAUUACAAACAAAUCCACGGCUUUAAAAUACAAAAUAUCGCCGUAUUAAAUUAAUUUACAACGACGGAAAAUAUAAAUAUAUCGACGUCAUUAUCGUAUAGUUCUACGACGUUAUCUUUAAAUCGUACAAUAAAAUUUAACGUCGUAUUUAUUCAUUUUAUACGUCGUACCUUUAAUUUUAACGGUCGUCUUAAUAAGAAUUUUUGUUAACAAUUUUUUUCUUUGAUUUUCUUAUCCUACGUCGGUAGAUCUACUUAAUGACAAGAAUUGAAAUAACCACAACGGUUUAUAUAGAACACCGCCGACAUAAUCAGAUUUGUCUGAGAUCCCAAGGAUUACGAAAUCUUACCAGAUGGAACUCUGUUCCACAUCAUAAUCUUAACAGAUGACACAGAUUUGCAAAUAUUGCGUCGUGUUAGUUUACAAAUUCUAGAACAUUAAUUUCCCUCAUUUUAAAUUUCCUCGGGAAAGAAAAAUCUAUUUAUCACGCUUUGUAAUUGAAAACUAAAACUGAAAGAAUACGGGAAAAAAAACUCUAUUUAUAAUUUAAAAAUAAAAUCCACGUCGGUUGUAGUACACUUAACGACGUUUAACAAAAUAAUCUACGUCGGUAAUUAUAAAUCUACCGCCAUCUUACCUUAAUAUAGACGACGAGAAAAGACGACGGUAGAACAGAAAACCGCCGUUGUUUCAGUUUCUUUAACAGUUUGGUCCUUUAUCUUUCUGCAUGACUUGUAUAGUUCAAAGCAUUGACAAUGUCUUCAUCAUAUCUCCCAGCAACUACUGAUUCAAUUGCUCAUGCUUUAGAGGCCAUCUGAAGCCAUUUCUAUUCUUUAUCGCAUUCUUGAAACCCAUCUUCUUCUUCUGAAGCUCUACGGAUAAAGGAAGAGGCUAUCACAAAUCCGACGGAUCUUCUUAGGCAAGAAAAUCAAGCAGAGGAUCAGGCACAUCUGAUCUUCAAAUUUCCCUGAGAAGCGAACUUUCCUUCGACAGCGAGUGGAGGCCAGGCUUGCAUCUCUUUUGAUGGAAAGCAAGGAGUGUUCAGAAGCACUAAGUGUCCUAUCAGGCUUGAUCAAGGAAGUGAGAAGGCUAGUUGACAAGCUUCUUCUUGUGGACAUAUAUUUGAUGCGAGUAAGCUCAAUUUCUCUUUGAGAAAGACAUCCAAAUUAUUGUCUUUGAGACGUGAGAGACUGAGAGAGGAAGAACUUGGAACCUUAAAUGUAAACCGAAAAUGAAUGAAAGCGACAAAUUUAUAGAAUAAAUUUUUAAAACCAACGGCGGUCCUUACAAAAAAACCGCCGUUUAAAUUGUAAAAUCAACGUCGGUAUUAUCGACGUAUAUUACAGAAAUCCACGUCGGUAAAUUAAUAAAAACGACGUGUUAAAUAAUCUACCAUGACGCGAGUUAUUACUUAUGUACUUUAAUUUUUGAGUUUACUACGACGGUACCUACAACACUACUGUCGUAUUUAUUUACCACGUCCGAAGUUAAAUGUACCGUCGUAUUUUGUAAUUUAUACGUCGUAGUUAUAUGUAACCGCCGUAUUAUUUUUUUGAAAUGGUUUUAUAUGUAAGCAACUUUUCGUCUACCUGACAUACACAUGCGCUGUUUCCAAACCCGAUUAAAAAGUUCAAUCUCCCAGAGAAAACUUUUAGACUUUUUUCCUUGUCAGAGCACUGUCAGAGUAUCUCAUCGUCUUCCUCUCGUCUUCUUCGUCGUCUCUGAACUUAAACAUAAUCUUCCUCUUGCUUUCAUUGCACGCAAAAGGUAAGCUUUCAUUUUCACUAUUUUGGUUGCUGUUUUGCAUGCUCAUACGUUUUUUGUUUGAAAAAUCUUUUUACCUUUUUUCUGGCCAAAAUCAUUUUACUUCUUUCCAAGUUCGAUAAAAUAUACAGACAAAGAGGGAAAGUUUCCAACUUUGAAGACAACUACCUCAACUAAAUAAGACGACGGUAGCUUCUUAUGUACGUGGUUAAAUAUGUAGACCACGACGGUUCGUCAGUCGUUCUAGCGUCGUCUGAAAAUUGACAAAGUUGUUUUUAAAAUUAUAGUCUUUUUUUUAUUUGCUUGUUUAAUUGCAGGUUUGAUUUCUCUGAACAAUGGUUUUUGUUUUUCCCUAAUUUGAUAAAAUAUAAAGAAAAAGAAAGUAGGGUUGGUAUCUAAUAUAGACGACAGUAUCUUAUUGUUUUACGUCGUGUGAAUGUUAAUACCACGACGUCAUAUUAAAAUACCAUCGUCUAUAUAAGAUUCCAAAACUUUCUUUCUUGGCCUUGUAUUUUAUCAAAUUAGAAAACAAAAACCAUGGUUCAGAAAAAUCAAAUCUGCAAUCAAACAUUCACAGAGAAAGAAAGAAGGGGUAUAUUACGACUGACGUCGUGUGAACAUCAAUACCACGACGUUAUAUAAAUAUUUCGUCGUGUAUAGUUAAUUAUCACGUCGUUUAUAGUUAAUUAUUUCGUCGUUGUUUAAUUACCUUGGUUUUAAACAUUUAUUACGUCUGAGAUUAUUUCAUUGCGUCGUUUAAAAUCAUAUCAUACGUCGUAUUUUAUUAAUAACUGUCGUUUGUGUUCUUAAUCUUUUCCUGAAAUAUUUUCACUUGCAGUUUUGUCUGUAAAAAUGGUUUCUCACCAAGACCAAAGUAAGGAUUCUGGCUCCAAGAAAAAUGGAGGUAAGGACCUUGGAAUGGUACCUCCUCAAGUGAAGCCUUCGAAGAAGAUGAAGUUUGCUUUAUCAUCUGCUGAGACAGAACGAACCAGCACGACAACAAUCUCUGAUGAUUCAAAGUCUGGUCGAGGUAUGAGCACAAUGCCUCGUGUUGUGAAGAGAAAACUUCAGAAACUGAGGCCAAUUGUUGAGUACAAUAAAAGGGGGAAAGGAAUUGGCCAAGCACAUAGUGAGAUGCAGUCCUACAUUGGUGUGUUGGCACGCUCCAGAGUUCCACUUGUGGACAUGAAAUGGGCUCAAAUCCCCAAGGAUAUAAAGGAGCAGAUUUGGGAAGCAGUUGACCUUGCUUUUGUGGUAGGUCAAGGGGGCAAGAGCUCUGUGUUAGCUUCUGCUGCCAAGAAAUGGAAGGAUUUCAAGUCUACACUAACGAGGCAAUAUAUCCUUCCAUACACCAAUGACAGGGAGAGAUUAAGCCAACCCCCUGAAACAUAUAAAUUCAUAGAGAAAGCACAAUGGGAUGCCUUUGUAGCUUCAAGGUUAUCCAAAUAUUUUGAGUCUGUGCAUUCUCAGCAUGUACAGAUUAGGGAGAAACUCGAGUACAAUCAUCGAUUGUCUCGAAAAGGAUAUGCUGGUUUGGAGGAUCAAUUGGAGGAAACCAUGCCUGGGGUAGAAAUUGAUCGAUCUACCUUAUGGAAGAGAGCUAGACAGGACAAACAUGGUAACAUCCCUGAUCCAAAGGUGGCAGAGAAAACAAAAUUAAUUGUAAGCCUACUCACUCUGUUUUAAAUUUUUAUUAAACUGUGAAUAAUUCUUAUUACGUCUUAUGUUAUAUUUUGCGUCGUGUGAAUGAUAUUACCACGUCGACAUAUUUUAAAAAACGUCGUUAAAGGUCUAAAUCAGGAAUCACAACUCUGUUUUCUGUAAUUAUAGCAUAAGAUGUCGGUGGUUCAUUUUCGCGUCGUCUGUAGUAAAUUACUACGUCGAAAUGUUUUAAACAACGUCGUUAAAGGUGUGAAUAUUGAAUCAUCCCUCUGUUAUCUGUAAAUAAAGCAUAAGACGUCGGUGGUUUAUUAAUUUCGUCAUUUUAAAAAGAUAACCACGUCGUAUAACUACCGUCGUGAUAAAUUAUAAUAACGUCGAUUUAUAUGUUAUUGCGUCGUGUGAAAUUAUAUAAUACGUCGUUUGUAUAUAAAUAACCGUCGUGUGUUUUUGGUUCUUACUUUUUUANNNNNNNNNNNNNNNNNNNNNNNNNNNNNNNNNNNNNNNNNNNNNNNNNNNNNNNNNNNNNNNNNNNNNNNNNNNNNNNNNNNNNNNNNNNNNNNNNNNNNNNNNNNNNNNNNNNNNNNNNNNNNNNNNNNNNNNNNNNNNNNNNNNNNNNNNNNNNNNNNNNNNNNNNNNNNNNNNNNNNNNNNNNNNNNNNNNNNNNNNNNNNNNNNNNNNNNNNNNNNNNNNNNNNNNNNNNNNNNNNNNNNNNNNNNNNNNNNNNNNNNNNNNNNNNNNNNNNNNNNNNNNNNNNNNNNNNNNNNNNNNNNNNNNNNNNNNNNNNNNNNNNNNNNNNNNNNNNNNNNNNNNNNNNNNNNNNNNNNNNNNNNNNNNNNNNNNNNNNNNNNNNNNNNNNNNNNNNNNNNNNNNNNNNNNNNNNNNNNNNNNNNNNNNNNNNNNNNNNNNNNNNNNNNNNNNNNNNNNNNNNNNNNNNNNNNNNNNNNNNNNNNNNNNNNNNNNNNNNNNNNNNNNNNNNNNNNNNNNNNNNNNNNNNNNNNNNNNNNNNNNNNNNNNNNNNNNNNNNNNNNNNNNNNNNNNNNNNNNNNNNNNNNNNNNNNNNNNNNNNNNNNNNNNNNNNNNNNNNNNNNNNNNNNNNNNNNNNNNNNNNNNNNNNNNNNNNNNNNNNNNNNNNNNNNNNNNNNNNNNNNNNNNNNNNNNNNNNNNNNNNNNNNNNNNNNNNNNNNNNNNNNNNNNNNNNNNNNNNNNNNNNNNNNNNNNNNNNNNNNNNNNNNNNNNNNNNNNNNNNNNNNNNNNNNNNNNNNNNNNNNNNNNNNNNNNNNNNNNNNNNNNNNNNNNNNNNNNNNNNNNNNNNNUAUAACCGUCGUUUUUAUAUUAAUUUUUUGCAGCCGUCAUUGGAUCUUGCUGAUUGUAAGAGCAAAGAAGGAGACCGUCUAUUUUCUGGAUCCUCUGCCAGGUCAUCGUGUGGUCGACGAAGAGGCGAAAAACAUCGUGAACAGUGCUUUAAAAAUAUAUAAUACCCACAUAGCCCGAGCAGGACGUAAAAAUGUAAUUUGGAAAACUCUCUCAGGCACACCAAAGCAACCCAGCAAUGUCGAAUGCGGGUAUUAUGUGAUGCGCUUCAUGAGGGACAUCAUCAUGGAUCCUUCCUUGGGGUUUGAGUAUAAGGUAAGAAGAAAUUACCUUCAUACAUUUCACGUCAUUUUUUGUAUUAUCAACGACGGUCAUGUAAAAUUAACGUCGUUGAAUGGAUAUACUACGUCGAUUAUGAAAAAUAUCGUCGUCUGUGAUUGAAUUUCUUUUUAUUUAUAAACCCUAAUAGUCAUUGUUUAUGCAGUAUGCCAAGGGAAACCAGGAAGCUUCAUACCCCCAAGAAGCCAUUGAUGAAGUCCGGAAUGAAUGGGCAGAGUUUGUUUUCCAAAUUAUUAAACAGGGCAAUUAUUGAACACUUGAUAUUUAUGUAUAAUGUACAAAUUUUCUCUAUAAUAUGUAAUGUAAAAAUUUGUUGAGGUUUUCUUAAAUUAAAAAAAAAACAAACAUACAAAUUGCGUAACCAACGUGUAAUACUUUUCCAACGACGUAAUAAAGUCAAAAGCCGUCGUUUUUUGUUGUUUCGUUUUAACCAAAUCCGACGUAAAAGGAUAUUUAGACGACGUUCUUUGAACAAUUGAGUCGUUUAUGGUUUACAACGUCUUCAAUUUCUUAAGGGUUCAGGGUAGUACUUUGUAACGACAGCGGUUAAGUCGUGGAAUAUAUAUUUUACGUCGGAUAGUUAAAUAUCCGCCAUGGUUUCUCAUUUAAACGACGUCAUUUUAGCAACUUAGUCGUCUAUUACAAUUUACAACGUCUAAAAUUUAUUAACACCGACGUGGUUUGUUGUUGUGAUAAGAAUAUUUUAUUAUUUUUAUAUCAAAAUAUUCAAAAUAAAUCUAAAAUAAAUCAAAAAAAUGCAAAGUCAACUCCUAUGAAGUCAUUGAUAUAUUUUCUUCCCCCUAAACCUUGAAAAAAUUCAUUUUGAAUAACAAAAAUUUAAAAUGACCAUCCAAAACAAAAUUGUUUUGAUGAGUCAUAAAAUCACUUCUAGUUUUAUGGUUUAGGGUUUAGAGUCUAGGGUUUAGAGAUUAGGGUUGUUAUUUAUUGGGGUUUAUUUUUAAAGUAUAAUUUUUGGGUAGUAUAGGGUAUAUAUUAGGCUGUAAAACCAUAAACCCUUUUAUAAACUUAAUUUUUAAAAUUAUAUAAUUUAGUUUUAAGGGUUUAGGGUAUUAAUUGUUAACGACGGUGGUUGAGUCGUGGAAUACAUAUGUUACGUCGUGCAGUAAAAUAUCCGACAUGGUUUCCACUUUAAACGACGUCAUUUUAAUAUGUAAAUCGUCUAUUAUAAUUUACAACGUUUUCAAUUUCUUAACUUCGACGUGGUUUUUCAGUCGUCUUUAUAUCAAAAUAUUCAAAAUAAAUUUAAAAUUAAUCCGAAAAAUGAACGUCAAAAUAAACGGCGUUACGUUCAGUGUUUUCGUCGUGGAAUAUUACAUUUACGUCGGUUCUUGUAGAACUUUCGCCAUGGUUUUUCUUUCGACGUUUUAAAGAGCGCGCGCUCUAAAAAUUUUCGCGCGCCCUAAAUUUUUUUAUAUUUGGCUCUUAUUCUUAUACUUCUAACCCUGAACCCUAAAAUUUUCAGAUUUCGCGCAACAUAACAUUCGCUCUCUCACUUUUGCUCUAAUUAAAAGUUGCACUCUCCAGGCUCCGUCGAAUCUGUGAGCUCGUCCAACCUGUAAGUACAAACCCUAUCUUCCCCUUGUAAAUUCAUUGAAUGAUAUUAGGUUGUUUUGUUAAAGGGUUUUAGGUAUAUGUUUUGUGAUCUGUUAAUAAUGUGCUUAUAGGUAUGGGUUCAUGGAUUUUCUCUUUAAUGGGUUCAUGGAUUUUCUGUUUAAUGGGUUCAUGGAUUACAUUAUCUGUUAUGUUGAAUUGGGAAUGGUUUUAAUUUUGUCGGAUCUUUUAAUCACCCUAUGUUAUGUUGAAUUGGGAAUGGAUUUAUUGUUUUCAUGCUUGGUUUCAUGUAUAUGUUGGUUUCUUGCUUGUUUUGUUAAAGGGUUUUAGGUAUAUGCUUUGCGAUCUGUUAAUAAUGUGCUUAUAGGUAUGGGUUCAUGGAUUUUCUGUUUAAUGGGUUCAUGGAUUUUAUGUUUAAUGGGUUCAUGGAUUACAUUAUCUGUUAUGUUGAAUUGGGAAUGGUUUUAAUUUUGUCGGAUCUUUUAAUCACCCUAUGUUAUGUUGAAUUGGGAAUGGAUUUAUUGUUUUCAUGCUUGGUUUCAUGUAUAUGUUGGUUUCUUGCUUGGUUUCAUAUAUAUGUUGUGUUCUUAAUGGUUUUGGGUUCUUGAAAAUAAACUGAGACACGACGCCUUUUUAGGCAUACGACGACGAUUACACGACGGUUUAUGAAAAAACCGUCGUUGUAUUACUUAUACACGACGGUUUUUUCAUAAACCGUCGUUUGUAUUACUUAUAUUAGACGACGUCUGUUGAAAAUCCGUCGUCUAUAUAUGCCAAAUACGUCUGUUUUUGUUUAAAACCCGUCGUCUCUGUUGUGUAUUACUUGCUAUUAGAUCUUUGUAUAAUCUGCUAUAGUGAUGGUCAUUGCCUGUAUUUUCACUUUAUUAUAGAUAAUAGGUUAUAGUGUCGGAGAUGGAUAAGUCAUGGAUGCACUCGGAUAGAAGAUCGAAGGCAUAUGAGUUUGGGGUGGAAGCAUUUUUGAACUUUGCUGUAGAAAAUCUUCUAACUACAACACAUAUCCGUUGUCCAUGUGUUAAAUGUGUUAAUUUGAAGUUGUUUGGGGUUGGAAUUAUAAGGGAUCACUUAUACCUUAAUGGAAUUGACCAAAGCUAUAAGAAUUGGACAUUUCACGGAGAACCUUGGGAAGCAACUACUAAUGCUAGUAGAAAUGUUGAAGAAGAUGAUGGCCAUAGUAGGUACAGUUUUGUGUCUGAAGAAAUUGAUAUGGAUGAUAAUGAUUUUGGUGAUUUUGGUUCCGAUCCGUAUGAGUUUGCCAAUGUGAUUGGGGAUGGAGAUCAACCAGUGUACCCUGGUUGUAGAAAGUACACGAAGUUAUCGGCAUUAGUGAAGUUGUAUAAUUUGAAGGCAAAACAUGGGAUGAGUGAUGUCUGUUUUACAGAAUUAUUGAUACUUCAAGGCGAUUUGCUUCCAGAAGGAAAUACAAUACCCACCUCUAUGUAUGAGGCUAAAAAGACUUUGUGUGCAUUGGGGCUGAGUUAUGAGAAAAUGCACGCAUGCCCCAAUGAUUGCAUCUUGUAUAGGAAGGAGUAUGAGGAUUCAACUAAUUGUCCUACUUGUGGUAUCUCAAGGUGGAAGGAAGGCAAAGAUUCAAUCUUGAAAGAGGAUGUGCCAGCGAAGGUGGUGUGGUAUUUUCCUCCAAUUCCAAGGUUUAAAAGGAUGUUUCAAUCACAUGAGACAGCUAAGAGUUUGACUUGGCAUGCUGCUAGAAAAUCAAUUGACGGUCAGAUGUCUCAUCCGGCGGAUUCCCCGUCUUGGAAACUUCUUGAUGAUAAAUGGCCUGAGUUUGGUAAUGAGCCGAGAAACUUGAGAUUGGCUCUUUCAUCUGAUGGAUUCAAUCCCCACAGUUCUCUAAGUAGCAGAUAUAGUUGUUGGCCGGUUAUCUUAGUUACAUAUAAUCUCCCUCCAUGGCUGUGCAUGAAACGAAAGUUCAUGAUGUUAAUCUUAUUGAUUUCCGGUCCUAAACAACCCGGAAAUGAUAUAGACGUCUACUUGGAGCCUUUGAUUGAUGAUUUAAAAUCUUUGUGGGAUGGGAUUAGAGGAGUGUAUGAUGCACAUAAUGGAGAAUACUUUACACUCAGAGCUGCAUUAAUGUGGACAAUUAAUGAUUUCCCCGCCUAUGGAAACUUAUCUGGUUGUGUUGUUAAAGGAUAUAAAGCUUGUCCAAUAUGCGGCGAUGAUACACCUAGUCACAGGUUGAAAAAUGGCCACAAAAUUUGUUACAUUGGGCAUAGAAAAUGGUUACCAAUCAAUCAUCCAUAUAGGAGGCAACGUGCAGCUUUUAAUGGGAAACCUGAAUAUGACAUACCUCCAGAGCCAUUAACCGGAGAAGAAGUGCUGCAUAUGGUUGAAAAUGGUGACAGAGUUUGUUGGAAGAAGAAAUCAAUAUUCUUUGAUCUCGAGUAUUGGAAAUACCUUCCUGUGAGGCAUGCCCUAGAUGUUAUGCACAUUGAGAAGAAUGUUUGCGAUAGUAUCAUUGGUACAUUGCUGGAGAUCCCUGGAAAAAAUAAAGAUGGGAUUGCUGCUCGAUUAGAUUUAUUGAACAUGGGGGUCAAAACUGAUUUGCAACCCGAGUAUGGAGAAAGACGUACUCGUUUGCCUCCUAGGCCUUGGAAUUUGUCAAGAGCAGAGAAGAGAGAGGUUUGCAAUUCUUUCUAUGGUAUGAAGGUCCUUGAAGGUUAUUCUUCAAAUAUUAAAAAUCUUGUAUCUUUACAAGAUUCAAGACUUCUUGGCCUUAAAUCACAUGAUUGUCAUACCUUAAUGCAACAAUUGCUCCCUGUGGCAAUUCGUUCUGUUUUGGAGAAGCCUGCAAGGUAUGCAAUAACUCGUUUGUGCUUCUUCUUCAAUGCUAUAUGUGCAAAGACUGUUGAUGUUUCCAAGCUAGAUAAGUUGGAAGAAGAUGUAGUAGUUACUCUGUGUUUGCUUGAGAAGUACUUUCCCCCUUCAUUCUUUGAUAUCAUGGUUCAUCUAGUAGUACAUCUUGUCAGAGAAGUUCGUCUAUGUGGGCCAGUAUAUUUUAGGUGGAUGUAUCCGUUUGAAAGAUAUAUGAAAGUGCUGAAGAGGUAUGUUCAGAAUCGUACUCGUCCCGAAGGUUGCAUUGCUGAGCGGUAUAUAGCUGAAGAAGCGGUAGAGUUUUGUACUCAGCAUUUAUCUGAUGUUAGUACAGUUGGAGUGCCUUCAAGCCAAAAGAUGGGACUUUCAAAGCCAUUAUCAGGUUGCACAGUGAGCGUAGUUGAUCAGGACCUGUUGAAUCAAGCACAUCUAUAUGUCUUGGAGAAUACGGAGGAAGUCCUACCUUAUAUCGAGUACGUAUGAGUUUUAUUCUUUAACUUAUUGAUUUUAAAUUAUUUCUUAUGUUUAUCUUCUAUAUUUGGGACCGUAAUGCUUGAAUUUUUCGUGUCAUGUAGGCAACAUAUGAUCCACAUCAAGACUGCUUAUCCAAAAUUUAGAAAGAGAACAAAGUGGCUGCAGGAUAAGCACAAUAGCACUUUCAUUCAAUGGCUACGCUUCAAGGUAUAUGUUGUUGAAUAACAUAUUUCUCUUUUAAUUUUCUUCUUAUUUCUAUGUUAGAUUGAAUUAAGAUAUAUGAUUAAUUUGCAGGUUCAAAGUGAACUUGAGGAAGACAAUCAUGGCGUAUCAGAAAAUUUAAGGUGGCUAGCAGCUGGUCCAAACAUGGCAGUGCCAUUAUAUAGGAGCUAUCUUAUUAAAGGUAUUAAAUUCAAUAUCAAGGCACAAGAUGAUGUGCGGAGAACUCAAAAUAGUGGAGUUUAUUUACUUGCACAUACCAUGCAAGUUGCUAGUGCCAAGGAUAAAAACUCAAUUCUCUCAAAUAUGGGUUUCUAUGGUGUCAUUCAAGAAAUUUGGGACCUUGACUACCAAAAGUUUACAAUCCCAGUCUUUAGGUGUGAUUGGAUAGAUAGUUCUGGUCUUGUAGUCGACGAACUUGGAUUUACCCUUGUAGAUUUGAGUAAAAUUGGACAUAGGAAUGACCAAUUUGUUUUGGCUUCUCAAGUCAAACAAAUAUUUUUUGUUGACGACCCGAUGCAUCGUGGUUGGUCGGUAGUGUUAUCAAUGCCUAAUAGAGAAUAUAAUGAUGUUAUUGGUGAUGAAGUCUUAGGUGAUGUGAUAAUUGAGUGUGAGCCAUUUACAAGAGGGAUGCCAAAUGUUGACACAUUUGAUGAAGUGGUGGGUGAGUUAGGCGGUCAAAAUAUUCGAGAUGGGUGUGAAGAUAUAUGGAUUGAAUGAUGCUUAUGUAAUUGGCAGUGUAUGACAUUAAUUUUGUAAUAUAUUGUAAUGUGAUUUCUUCACUUUCUACGUUCAAAUAAAACACGACGUUAUUGUGAACCAGUUAUUCAGCAUAUUUACCGACGUCUUAAAGCAACGUAACAAUGAAGAACCACGACGCUAUUGUGAAGCAAUUAUUCAGGAUAUCACGUCGGGGAAGGAUUAAGAACCGCCAUGUAAUUCAAAAUAACACGACUCCAAUCCCAUAAUACCGACGUCUAAAAAACGAGAUAUAUAAUCUGAACGUUAAAAAAUACGACGUCAUCAUACAUUUUCCACGUCCGCAAGUUCUUUUAUAAACGAAGAGGAACGAAAUGAAUUCCGGCGGUAAUUCAUUAUAACCGCCGUCUAAUAUCAAUUAAACGACGUUAUUUGUAAUACGGCUCUCUCAUCGCAUUUCAACGUCAACUAUAUAAAUACAUAUGUCGUAAAUAAUGACACUGACAACUAUUUAAACGUCAUCUUUUUUAGAAAAAUCGAAGUGGAAAAUUUAUUUCACGACGGUUGUUUGUAAAUAAGAGACGUAGUAUAUUUCAAUAACGUCGUCUUCUCAUGUAUUUAAAGACGUCAUAUUUUUUCUUGUCGUGAAAAUUAUAUUUGACGGCGUAGUGUUUUAGUUGUCGUCGUUGUAUGUCUAUCUUGCGGCCUUGUUCUUUUAAUAUGUGUCAUAUUUUUCCUUUUUAACGACGGUGAUUUGUUUGAGUUGGUCGUCUAUUCUCAUCCUUGACUAUUUUUUAGAACUUUAGCAGACUAAACACGUCUGUUUUUAUUUGUUUUCGACGUUGUUUUAUUUAACAACGUCUAAUAUUUAUCGUCGUUGUUUGUUUCAGAAAAUAGGACGUAUAAAUUUUGUAAUACGACUCUCAUAUAUUUGUAACCGACGUUGUUUCGUUGUUCAACGUCUACUCUAUAAAUACAUACGUCGUAAAUAAUGACACUGACAACUAUUUCCACGUCAUCUUUUAUAGAAAAAUCGAAGUGGAAAAUAUAUUUUACGACGGUUAUUUUUAUAUAGGUGACGUAGUAGGUAUCAAUAACGUCGUCUUCUAAUGUAUUUAAAGACGACAUAUUUUUUAUUGUCGUGAAAAUGAUAUUUAACGGCGUCUUAUUUUAAUUUUCGUCGUUGUAUGUCUAUCUUGCGGCCAUGUUCUGUUAAUAUGUGUCAUAUUUUUCCUUUUUAACGACGGUUUGUUUAGAGAGUUGGACGUCUAUUCUCAUCCUCGACUGCUAUUUUAGAUCUUUUUGCAGUACACAGACGUCGUUUUGUAUUUAUUGAUGACGUUGUAUAUUGUAACAACAACGGUGAUUUAACGUCGUGGUUUAUGAGGGAAAAGAUGACGGUGGAUUCCACGACCAUUGAAAAACCGAAUACACGACGGUGAUUUACCGUCGUCUUUUUGCUUUUUUGUAGUAGUGAACUCAGCAGGAAGUCCGGGGAAAAAAUAAUCAACAAGGCAAUAAUUAUUUUGCAUCAAAGUGAAAAGAUAGACCAACCAUCCAUCAAGUAAACCAUACUUCCCUUAAUCUAACCUUUGAGCCAUGUUCAGCACUCUACAUACAAUUCUUAAAAAGAUGGAGAGAAAAAGAGAUACUUUCCGAAGAGCGGAAAGCACACAAAACAAUUCUGAUAAACCUGAUAUGAAUGGUUGAAUGAGGAGAGAAAUGAAAGCAAACAGCUUACUAUGUCCUAAUUAUCAUUGACGACAGUAUUGUUUAAGGAACACUUACUUGAGGAACAACCUUAACCCCAGACUGAUGAGCUUUCAAUACAAGCUCCUCUGAACAUUCACCCCAGUAAACCUGCAGCACUGCUACCUUUUCAUCCAAAAUGACUUGUAUAUUUUUCUCAUGCGGAAACGCCAGAACAACACCAACCCCAAACGGUUUGUCAGUUAAGCUUCGAGUCUUCCUUAUGAGCUCCCGCAGGUAAUGUGGUGACUCCUGAUCAGUCAAAAUUAGUAUAUCAGAAAUUUCUUCUUUAAUGGCAUAUGUUCACAAGUUAUCCUGUAUUGUUUAUAUUCACAUAAGCUUAACAGCGAUUUGCUGCUAAAAUACUGCAAGGAGACCAUAGUACCAAGAAAGGCCUGUUAUUGUAUAUUGAUAUAUUCACAUAAUCAAUUCGGAGAACCGUUUAGCUGCUUUUUCCCAUAUCUUUCUUUUUCUUUUCCACUUUGCCUGUUUGUUUCCACCUUUAUGGAAGAGAUUAUAACUAUCACAGAUGCACUUUCAGAUUUCCAAAUGACAGGCCAUACUCAACCUUGAACCACUGAUCUGAAUUUUGCAAGAGCUUCCUUGGAAAAGUUAAUGAUGUACCAUAGAAAAGAAAAGAGGCGAGGGCAUGGAAAAUGGCCUCAGGCUUAAUUACGCGUCCUCACUCUCUCAGGUUUGAGACUAAGUGGGCAUGUAUUUGUGCAUUUAUGAUCAGACUUCUAGGGUAUAUGAAUUACGCAGCCAAGAAAAAGCAAUCAAAGGCAUGAAGACUUGAGUGAUAAUCAUUAAGGCUCACGGUCAUCUCAGUCCUUGGUUUCUUCACUAAAAGAGGGAAAUAACGUUCAAACUGGUUGGAAGAAGACAAAUGACCAAUCUAAUCCAAAGAAUAAAAAGAGUAAGACUUAGAAAAUGGACUACAAGUCCUAAAAAAGUUUAUGAACAAAGGAAAAUCUCAAAAUUAGAGCAGCACUCAGUUGAUCUGAUGUACCAAUUUGAGGCAGAGAAGUCUGUAUUCAGGGAAAUUGACAUGGAUGCAGAGUAACUCCAAUGGCUAGCUGGAUGUUAUUGCUUGGCACGAUCCACAUAUGCGUCCCGAAUCGUUAUUGUUAAAGCACAUAUUAAAGUGUGAACAUUCAAAUAAAGCCAAUUUGCAAUGUUGAAGGUAGAUAUUACCAUGUUGUUGUAGAAGCUGCUGCUGCCUGCCUGCAUGUGAAUUCGUUAUGUAAUAUCAACAUUUUAACUUUGGGAAGAGAGAGAGAGAGAGAGAAAGAGUGUGUGUGUGUGUGUUUGUUUUACAAUUAGAUUAGAUUGAUGAACAAGUGGAAUAGUGAAACGUAUAUAAGGGUCACUUUCAAAUCAGUGUAAGAACUUUCUCUGUUAUCCCAAAUUUGGUAAUUCCCAAAUUCAAAGAGUUCUAGCUUCUUUUUUUUCUGCAUUGUAGCUUGGUGCAUGCAGACUGUACUACAGCUACUAGUAAAUUUGAACAUAUAAAAUUGGAGAGAGUAGAGAAAACGGAGAAAUAAAGGUUACUUUGAAACCACCAUAUUCAUUCAAAUGCUCUUGUUUUCAGUGACACCAAAUCCAUGCUUUUUCCAUUGCUCUUCACCUACCAAUUCCAUUAAAUUGGCAUGUAUGUUUUGCCGAUUAAAGGUCGAAGAAAGUUCACAUAGGUUUUGUUUAAUGAGAUAUGAGGUUAUUACAUUUAAUUUCUUUUUCUGAAAUUCUUUUAACUUUCUUUGUUUUGAAAUUUGAUAAGCGUCAAAAUCUCAUUUGCUUUGAAGAGGUGCUCCUACAACAUACACUUCUCCUCCUCCUAGAGCUGGCAACAAAACUGCUAAAGCUGCCAUCACCAUGAAAAAGCUACCACCAUCUUUUUUUGACACCUUGUGGGUUUGUCGUUGCCGGUGAAAUCCUCCGUAUUAUUUGAACUAACCUUUUGUGGUCACUAUAUUUAUGUAUUUAGUAUUUGUAUUGAUCCUUAUGACCGAUAACUUUUAGACAUGAAUUAUAACUGGAAUAUACCGCUUUUCUAUCACAAUUUCAAAUUCAUUAAAUGAUAGGCAGUUAUUUGCAGAACCACAAGUACAUGAAUGGGGGCGAAGUACAGUCUAAAGGACAUAGCAAAUCUAUUGGCCUCUAUUAACUCUACACGUCAGUAUUUCUCCGUAUUAAUUUACUACAAUUUUAGUCUCUUUAUUUCCAAUAAUUACUGAUUUACAAUUCCAUUUUCUAUAUUCUACACUUUGACAAAAAAAAAAAUGAAAAUGAAAAAUUGAUCAAAGGAAAGAAAAAACCAAACUGUCAGCCAUUUCUAAUACCAAGUAAAAGACAAAAAGUGGGCCACCAAAUUUCGAAUUGCUUUUCAACGCAGAUCCGGAUGGAGCCAACGAGGUGGAUUUCCUAUAGCCAACAUGUAUAUUUGGAAAUGAGUCAAUUUUUUAUUUUGAGGGUUUUUGUUUUUUUUCGUAAAAGACAAAUUUUGGAGCUUAGUCUCCUUUACUCAUUGCACACUUCACAGUUUCCGUAACACUACACAAAAAAGAUAAAGAGCGAUAUUUUCCCUAAUCCGCUCAAAAUUUUCAAUAUAUCGCCUUUUCAAAUAUUUUAUUUUAUGGUUCUUUUUAGCAAUGCUCCUUCAAUUAUAGACUUUGUUCCACUUUGCUUUCUGAAAGUUCAAUUUGGUUUUGAGCUCUUCUAAUCUUUCAAAACAUGUCGAUGUGCCUUAUUAUAUUAAGUUUGUUAAAUUUAAGGGCAUUUCUAUCCAUUCAAGUUAGGAUUUAGUUUGACCUACUUAAACUCUAAUUGAUUGACUCAUUCUUCCUUUACUUUCACCAUUUUCAUUCUUUUUUUUUUCAUUUACAAUAUGAUUUGAAGGGAAGAAUUGGUAUAGUCAAUUAGGAUUUAAGUUGGUCAAAUCAAAUCCUAACUUUUUUUUUUUUUUUUAUCAAAGAGAAACUUCAUUAGAUAGUCUUCAACAAUACAAUCAAAGACAUGAUAUCUAAAUGACCAAUUCCACAAAGGCAACAAAUUAACAUGCUAAAAACAAGACCAAAGCGGACAAAAGCUGCACUAAAACUAGUAACCUAUAUCACCACAAUUAAGAAUAAUCCAAACAAAGCCCACAAACCUAACAUAACUGAAACCCUAAAGCCACCAAGGAGCCUAAAUAAACCUUACCAACACCACUUGAAGAAGUAUCAUCGCAACAAUACCCACCACCGAAUAAAAUCUUGAAGUGAUAAUAAAAUUUGUAACGGAUCUAGGGAAAACAAGGUUUUCAAUGAUCUACCUACGCAUAAGAGUGAAUAAAUGAAACAAAACAACAAACCUGACAAAGAACAAUUGGGUGAUUUGUAGCGAACUUCAUCAAAAUACGAUGUAGAAUCAAUUUUAGAGAACAUGAGCAGUGUUAGAGAACAAGUUUUGGGGGAAAGAUUUGAUUGAGCAUAUAGCCUAAAAAGGGUGAUGAGAAAUUUCAAUCUGAGCAUGGCUCAAAAGAAAUCUCCACAAAGGGCUUCUUAUUUAAAACACCUCAGUGGACUUAUUCACUAACCCAAAACAAAAGGACGAGAAGAGAGGAAGGGAAAGAGGAGCAGUGACGCUUCUUCCUCCUCACCUCUAUGGAGUUUUGCUUUAGGACUCACAAACUAAAUCCUAACUUGAAUGCAUAGAAAUGCUCCUGAAUUUGACAGAGGAAUUAACAAACUUAACGAAAGUGGACGCAUUGACACGCUUUGAAAGAUUAGAGGGACUCAAAAUCAAUUUCCAAAGUUGAAUAAGGUGUAUAUGGUUCAUGGGGGGCAUUGCUAAAAUUUUCUCUUUAUUUUAAUGUUAACUUGUAUUAUCCACGAGUUUGUAUUGGCAACUUUUGUGCCCAAUAUAUUAAGGGAGCUAAUUUUCCCACUCCACUUUUGUUCACUUACACUUCCUUUUGUUGGAAAUUGUAUGUUAUCAUACCUUUUUUGUCUACUUACACUCCCUUGUAUGUUAUAGUAAAAGGUAUUAAAAAAAAUAAAAAGGAGUGUAAGUGGAUAAAAGAAAAGUGGAAAAAUAAGCACCCUAUAUUAAAGGAGUGUAUUAACUUCUUUUAUUUUGGGUGAGAUACUAACAAUCUAAAUAUCCCCAUUCGUUCAGGUCGUGAGAUACUUACUAGACCUAGCAAUAUUGUCAGCGAUUCAAGAAAACGACACGAAUUCGUACUAAAAAAUCAUUAUUCGGAUUGGAUUUAACGGAUCGGGUUAAAAACGGGUGGCCCUGUUAGCCACCCAUUAAGUUAAUGGGUCAUGUCAGUAUCAUUCACGAAUCACUUGUUAACCCAUUAAGGGCAAGGGUAUUUUAUAAAUUUUUAUAUCUUCCAUUUUUCCUUUUGUUUUCUUUUUUUUCUCCUUCUUUCUUACCUUUCUUAUCUGCCAUAGGUGAAGCUUGCUUAUGGUGUGCCAAUCUUUUGAAGUGCUUGUGUAAACCUCUUGUGCCUUGGACUAGAAGGCUCGUCAACACCACUUUGGACUACACUUAUGUUCAAGCUGUUCGUAAUCUGACUUGACUUGGAUCUAUGGCUGCGUUCCUCAUAGAAAGAAAAAUACCAUAAAAUUUUACCUGCAAAAUAGAGGGUAUACAGAAAACGAUCGUGCAUACUAUGUAGACAACUCUAUCUCUAGGCUUUGGACAUUACCAGAGGGCCCUUCCCUCUUGAGUGGUGAUGGUAAAGAUGGCCAUUACAAAUGUACAAAAUAUUAAGCCUAUAAGAAAGAAUUAUUAUAGCUUCGUUAUCUAAUUUGAGAUAUACAAAAUAGUUAAACCACGAUACGAAAUAGACGACGACGUAUCUGAAAACUAUCGUGAUAUCUCAUCUUAUACACUACUAGCAUUGGGUUGAAUUUCAGAAGACGACGCUUGUCACUAACAAGCGUUCUAUUUUAAAACAUGCUAAACAAAAAAAAAUACUGCAUUCACGCACAACCUAAAAUUUUCGGAUUUCCCCCUUGUCUUUGUAAACCUUAUCUCUCUCUCCUUGAAACCCUCCUCAAUUCUAACACCCUCAUGAAAAACACUCCCUCUCACAUGUCUUGAGCAUUUCACUCCCUACAAACAUCAUCAGAAAAUCGAUAUCAAGGAAGAAGUUGAGAGACAGAGGUCUUCGCAGAUCCACAAGAUGGAGUGGGAGGUUCUAGAUAUAAGAAUCAAAGCUGGUGGGAGGCGGUGGAGAUCUUGAUCUCCGUGCUCUUCAACGAAGAUCACCAUCUUAGGCAUUCAACUCGCUCGUCAACCUUAACAACGUGGUCUGGUUAGCUCUCCAAUUUGUGGUCGCGAUCUAGAAAGACUCGUAGAAAUCGGUCUCUCAGGCCACUUCAGGCCUUGGCUUUCUCUCACCUCUCUGAAGGUCCAGUCAUAAUUUGAAUGUUGGUGAUGUAUGUGUCUUUGUGUUGAUUGAUGACACAUACAUCACCAACAUUCAAAUUAUUGCAUUUCUCAAAUUGCUGGCUCAAUUGUGAUGAGGAACACAUGCUCAUUUAGUACGUAGCUCCCACUGGUACAAUUUCAUAUCUCUUGGGAUUUCCCAAUAUUUCUCUUAUAUUCAUUUUACUAUUUCGUUUUAUAUAUCCUCGACCAUAUUUAUUUUCUAGUUAAUUUGCAUCUAUAGCUCUUCUCCAGCAAUCAUCCAUUGUAAGGCAAGCGAGCAAGCACUCUGCAAAUAUGGCUUGUUUUUCUUCUCUCUUUCUCUGCCAUCAUAUUUACCUCUGUAUUAGGUUUAUGAUUAAUUUAUGAUUGGAGGCUAAAAAAGUUAUGUGAAGGAUGAAGCUCUUAUCAAAACACAAGGUAGACCAUAUGACAAUUUGAGAAUGAGGUUUUCCUUUUCUUUCCAAUCAUCAAUUCAGUAAAUCCAUGUUUAUUUGUUUAAGAUAUUUGAAUUAGCAAGCCUGAAAAGUUGCCAUGGCAUAUUCCAAUUAUUUGUUUAAGAUAUUUCUUGUUAUUUGUAGCUUUGAAAACCUGCUUGGUGUUCUUUUAGGUCUGAUGAGUGUAUGGAAUGUUUCAUUUUUUGGAUACCUUGCUACCAAGAACUGGAGAAGUUUGCUAUACACAUUCAACAACGCAUAAGUUUAUACUACCCUUAUAUUUGCAUUUUUGUAUUAACUGCUCUUAUACCUUCCAAUUUUUUCUGCAAUGUAGGUUGGCAUGGAAAGUAAACCGCAAGGAUGUAUCAAGUCAUGGUUUGUAAUACUUCCCUCUGUUACCACUGUGACAAUUGAUGUAGUUAGUCCUCAAGUUGCUAUCAUUAUAAAGCUACAUAGAUCUUUUUAUUAAGGUUAGGUUGCUGCUAAAUAGGUUUAUGUUUAAGAGUAUUGGGGUCUCUUUUUGCGUACACGCUGAGAAGCCUAAGGAAUACCUUUAAGUCACAUCAUUUUGAUACGACCGUAUAGCGCUCUAAAAGAGAAACAAUAUAUACACAAGACAACUGUGAUGUAUCAGGUCUAAGGAUUAAUUUGCAUUAUCACAACUUAGAAUUCUUUGUUUGACACUUGUGAGUAAGACUUCCAUACAAGAAUUCUAUAGUUUAUCGCAUUCAGUGGACUCCAUCUUCUAUAGAGCACCUAUACAUCUGUCGCAAUGUCUCUACACGAACGACUUGAGACUAGUCAUCCUCCCAAUUGAGCAGACAUAAUGUGUACCAGUCUUUGUGGGUCACCUUUGUCCAAUUGGUGAUCCUAUGACCAAGAACAUUUUAGGAUAAACACAUCAUUUCAUUUAAGUUUGAGUUCUCCAAGUGGUGGGUUUUGGUGGUGGCAAAGCCCAAAACGAUGGGCCUUCAAAUCACUUAUAAAUAUGCGUGAGUAAGUUUUUGUUUGGUCUGGGGCAAAAGACUCCGGAAUUCACUAUUAAUUGAAUAGGUUAUAGUUUCUCAUGCCCACUUGAUAGCAUAUCUAAUAUUUAUUAAUAAGCCAUCUCUUUUCUAAAUAAAAAUAAAUAAAAAAAUAGGUCAUCUCUAUUUUUUCUUUUUAAUAGUUAUGUCAUCUACAUGUUGUAGUGUUAAAUAGAUGGGUAACAUAUCUUUUUAUAUAUUCCUUUUUAAAAUAAUUCAAGUUCAAAAGGUUUACGCCUCAACAUCUCAAGGCUUAUGCCUCACUUUAAGGGACCAAAAAUGCCUACCCUCUAUACCUCGCCUUUCAAAAUAUUGUCACUUUAGACUUAAAAAACUCUAAACAUAGCAAAACAAAUUAAAAGCAAGUUGAUGAGAUCUCUUUAGAUAUUUGAGAAUACGAGAUAUUCUCUCCCACUUUAGAUACUAAAAGCGAGUUCAUUGAAGAUUUGUUUGUAAUUUUAUUUUUUCUAUGAUUUAUGAAUGACAUUAGUAUUGUUUAAAUUCAAGGGUAUUUGAUAUUGUCUAAAUAAUUUUAGGGAGCAUUUCCUAAAAAAUUCAUAGAUCUGCCACUGGGUGUUGGCCAAAGGCCCUCCGAUAUCUAAGUCAGUUAGAUGCUCUUGAGGAAGAUACGAAAAUAACAAAGAAGGUAGAAGUUUUCUCUACGGUACGAGAGAGCUGGGGCCAUGAGAGAGAGAUAGUGAGGGGCCAGUGAGAGAGAGAGACAGUUCUUCGGGUUUUUCGAAUUACCUCAUGUAUGUGGUGUAGCCAUAUAUUUAUAGUGCUCUUGCCUUCUAGGGUUUUUCAAACAAUAAUUCCCAUAUGGAAGUGAAUUAUUCUCUCCCUUAAAUGGAGAGAUUGGAUCACUUAGAGAUUUAAUGAAAAUCAAAUCCCUAAUUUAUGGUAUUAUCCCUAUCUUAAGUCUAAACAAUUGGCCAAUUAAAUUGAGCACAAUUGUUGACCUAAGAAAUAUUCCCAUUGUCCACAUGGCAUCUUGUGAUUGGCUGUCGAAAUAUUUACUUCCACAAAUACCCCACAACUUCUGCAUGGCACAUGCAUGACAUGGAGGAGAUGAGAAAUAUUUAUCGAGCUUUCCAACUACGUUUGGACUUCCUUUUGUGAGCUGGGCUCCUGACUAGAUGAGGCUUUUAAUUUCUUUUUGGAGUUGGGCUCCUAAUUGGAGUAGGCUUUUGAUUCUUUCUUGCCGAAGGAUGCCCAACCAAUAUAAAUAUAGGGCUUCUCUUCACUCCUUUUCAUAUUGCAAACUUAUUUUCCUCUACUUUCUAGCUUGAAAGAGAGACCUUGGAGGAUUGUACUGUUGUCAAGGAAAGGAGUUGGCAUGCACACCAAGGUAGGUCACACUUGGUUUUUUGUAUUUAUCUUUGAUUUUUCUUCUCGGCGAGGACUAGUUGGUUGGCCUAGCAAGUUGUCGUUGUGACGCGAUGGAGGUGGCUGACACCGGUGGUUGUCGCGGUGGCUACUGUGGUGGAUGACUCGAAAAUUUUUGUUUUCUUUUUUUUGGUUUUUUUUUUGGUUUUGCUGUUUUUGGUGAGAACCAGCUAGCUGGUUGUCAUCCUGAUUGAGGCUGUGGCUGUGUCACAAGAUCAAGCCACAUGCUGGUGGUUGAGUCAGAGCAGCGCCAGCAGUAGUUGCGACAAGGGGUUGCUGUUGCCGCUACCAUUCUUCUUUUCAUGCAAGUUGGUGGGUUUGAACGUGGAAGUUGACUACGGGACCAACCUUAGUCCGAGACCUUGUGCUUGGAUCCCAAGGCGAAGAGAGAAGGAUGGACGAAUGCACGGGCACGUAGUUCGGGAGGUCCCAGGCAAGUCGAGUAGGAGCAAGCAGGCAAGAGAAGGACAAAAUCGUGCUGCUCAACACCCAUGCAUUUCACAAGCAUCUGCAAGCCCUGACCAAAGUAGAUCCAGUCUCCGUUCGAGGCUAGGUCCCAAGACCAAUGUGCACACAAGGUUGGGUCCGCAAUCCGGUGUACAUGCCAUUUUGGGCCCGUAAAGGAGUGUUCAAGUUUGGGGUUGGAAUUGUUUGAUCAUGGCUCUAUCGUUGUAGUAAGAUUUUAAUUGUUGCUGAUAAGAUGUAACUUGGACAAUGGCCUUUUCGUGCACUUCUUCGAGUAGGUCAAGGUUGACCUUUAUCUGUUCGAAAUUCUGGUCAAUGCUACCCACUUGAAUGCUCAUGGAGGGGGCUAGUGACAUGAGGGGGAAUGAUAACCUCUGUUCCAUACGCAAAGGAAAAUAGGGUUUUUCAAGUUGAUCUCUUUUUGAAAGUGCGAUAAGCCCAUAGAACUCUAAGGAGCUCAUCUACCCAUUUCCCCUUGGCCCCUUCUAGUCUUUAUUUAGACAGUCCAUCACAAUUUUGUUGGAUGCCUCUACUUGGCUAUUGGCUUGUGGAUAUCUUCGAGUAGACAAGUGUUGAAUCUCACCCACAGUACCCUAAGAGCUAAGAAUUAAGAUAGAAAAGAGAGAGAAAUAGAAAAUGGAUGGGUUGGAGUAGAAGUUAGCAAGAGGCCUCAUGCUGUGGGUCUCCCAUUCCCAGCUCAAGGUCACAUAAGCUCAAUGAUGAAGUUAGCAAAGCUCCUACAUCAUAGAGGCUUUCACAUAACCUUUGUCAACAAUGGGUACAACCACAAACGCAUGCUCAAAUCCCGAGGCCCCUCCCCCAUCCCCCCUCCACGUCUCCCAGGACUUCUGUUUUGAAGCCAUCCCCGAUGGUCUACCCCUUACAGACGUUGAAGCUACGCAAGACAUCCCGUCUCUUUGCGACUCCACAAGCAAGACUUGCUUAGGACCAUUUCGCAACCUGCUGGCUAACCUUAGUCUUGACAAGACCCUCCCACCGGUGACCUGUAUUGUCUCCAAUGGAGUCAUGUCAUUCGCCAUCAAAGCCGGUGAAGAUCUUGGAAUUCCGGUGGCUCUGUUCUGGAUUGCAAGUGCAUGCGGCUUCAUGGGCUACACGCAGUACCGCCAACUUACUGACAAGGGUCUUACACCACUCAGAGGUACAUGUUAUGUUACAUGAAAAAUAAAGGGCACGAAUUAAUACAGUAAAAUUGAAAUUUUGUGAUAUUAUUAUUUGUAUUGGUUUGGUUGUUAUAUGAAAACAAUUAAAUUAAGGGACUGGCAAACUAUUAUAUUCAUUGUUCACACUCCUUACGACCCAAAAAAAAAAAAAAAAAAAAAAAGGUUCACCCCCCUUUGUUUUUUUAAUUAUUUUUCAUCUCAUUUAUCAAUGCAAUUUUCAUUCCCAAAAGCCUUAUGAAAUGAGAUUGAAAACUUAAAAAGAUAAGAUAGGAAUUACAGAGAAUGAUGAGUAUUGGAGUACCAAAUAACUAACUUUUAUGGGGAGGUCUGGACGUUAUUACCAUGCGGACGCUAUGUGUUUUAUACUCCUCCUCCUUGUUUUCCUCCUUGUUUAUAUUCACAUCCUCACGGUAAUAACUUACAAAUCCGGAUGAGAGAAGAACUGUAUAUAUAUAAUCAGAAUUGGCCGUAACCGUAAUAAAAUCAUGGUAAAAAUGAAAGAAGGCAAGGGAACUUGAAAUAUUACCACAUCCUGAAAACUGUCAUCAGUCAUUGUUUGCCAAUGUAAUAUGGACAGGGAAUUUGUGAUUGUGCCUGGUAUGGAGCUGUGGGAGGACUUGGGUAAGAAGAAUCAGGGUAUGCUGCUACAGUUUGAGGAUAGCCGUAGCCAACAGGGGUUGUGCCUGCAUGUGCUUUUCCAGGCUGGGGAUAUCCAGCCGCUAGGGGUAAGGCCAUUGGAACCAUUGCUGGGGGUAGCUGUGCUUGUACUGUUCUGCCCUUGUGGGAAUCAGCCAGCUUCACAAUGAUAUUCCUCCCCUGCAACGAAACAUAAACUUUAGACAAUUGCUUCCAUGUGCUAAUAGGAAUUUGCUUGCCAGGGAGUACAUCUAACCACAAUGGCAGAUACAUAGAAGCUGCACUAAGCUAUGUUACCUGAUGAAAAACAAAUGAAUCUGAGAAAUCAGGUUUCUUUCUUCUUCUUGUUUUAUAAGGAAUAUCACAAUUAAUUCAUAAUGAAUGCCCAAGCAAGAUGAAUUAACAAAAGGAAACGUCCCUCAAAUUCUUAGACAAAUAAGCCCAUAAAGUCAUCCAAAUCUGCUCCUAUCCGAAAUAACAUCCCUUUCCUCCCUAUUUUCUUCACAUGCUCUAUUCUACUAGAAUUAUUUUAGAAAUAAUAAAGAAACAGUCAAACUACAAGGGAUAUUCAGCAGUUCGUUCCUCAACUUGAGUUCAGACAACUCAGAAGGCAUUUCUCGGAGCUGGAACCCCAACAAUACACCAUGUGGUCACCACCCCAAGAAAAUUACAACAAUACAAGUAGCAUUAUCUAAGCAGGGGAAACCACCAUGUUGACGGAAAAAAAAAAAAAAAAAAAAAAAAAAGGUUACAUAAAAUUUGCAAAUUCAAAAAGACAUAAAAGAUAGAAAAGAACAUUAUCUAGCAGAAGGUUGAACCAGAUACAGGAGGCUGUGUUCCAGCAGGAGGCCACAUCACAAAGGAGCCAAGAUACUCUAAACAACAUGACAACCAUGAUGCAGUGGCAAGUCAACAGGCAGUUCAGGAAGGACCGUGAGGCUGCUAUUGCCAGAAUUCCAAACCCAGAUGUUAUGGUCCAGCAGCUAGACCUCCUUUAUGGACCUUCACUAGGACUGGCAUGGCCAUACCAAGAGAACCAUCUCAUCGCACAGAUAGCUAGAAUACCCGAACGUGGAGAAAUCCAACUUGGACAGAAGGGAGGAACCCUUCCCAUCUAAGAACAUGAGGCUCCAGUUCGGCCAGAAGGCCUUGCACCAGUUCAGGCCCCCCAAAAUCAGUCAAAACCUCCACCUAUUCCACAACCUGUGGCCCCACGUGAUCAGCCUUGGCACCUCUACCUGAGGCACUAGCUGUGUUGCCCUAUAGACCUAGAAGAAUGGACCCCAAUCCAGUCCCUCCACUAGCAAAAGGCAGGAGAGGUAAAGGGGGAGUUAACCCAUUUGCCAACAAUGGCAGGAACAGACAAGGAGCAAACUGGAGGAACCAUCCAAACUUCGAAGAAAAGGCAGAACAUAGGAAGGAAGUUCUGCCCAGGCCAUUCAGAAUGAAGCACAGGAUUUAGAACCAGCCAGAACAGGGGCGAAAUCCCCAUCCUGUCAAUGCUUUGAAUGACAUGGGGGCACUUCAGAGAAUGAUCAGGGAGAUGAUGGAGCCUGAAGCCAGAAGAGGAGAAAGGCCCACCUACAGAAAGCCAUAUCCGGCUUACAUUGAUCAGAUACCACUAUCACCGGGUUUUAAGGUACCAAACUUCACCUCGUUCAACGGAAAAGAUCCCCAUGCUUCAUCAGUUGAGCAUAUAGGCAAAUUCUACGUCCAGUGCAUAACCAUACAAAAUAACCCUCUGCUAAAACUAAGGCUUUUUGGAAACUCUCUCUCCGGGCAAGCUUUCACCUGGUACACUAACUUACCAGCCAAUUCUGUCUUCCAUGAUUACUAUUUCAGGAUUCAGCCAGAAGUCACCAUUAGUGAUCUUGCUGCCCUCAAAUAGAAUGAAGAUGAGCAAGCCCAAGACUUCAUAACUAGGUUCAGAAGACUCAAAAUGAAAUGCCGAAUCCCUAUGGAAGAAAGGCAAUUUAUUCAAAUGGCUCAAACCGCCCUUAAAAUCUCUCUGAGGAAGAGAUUUGACUGGAUGCUGUUUGGAGUCUGGCAGAACUGGCAAACAAAGCGUCUAAAUACGAGGAACUGCUCAGAGAAGAACAACAGGAGAGGAACUCCUCCAAAGGCACGUAUUACAAAACCCUUUCUUCUUCAAUACAUCUGGUUGAGGUAGAAUCAGAAGAAGACACAAAAGGCUCGAAGGAAAAGGGAAAUUGUAGUGACAUAAAUGGCAAAGUUGAAACAUCCCAUCAGUUGCGAAGCUUUUACAAAGCCACCAAAGGACCAGAAACCACCACCAUUCACAGGAGGGUUUGUUCCGAACAAGCCAACACAGAAUAAGGUCUAUUCUUUCGAUCUAACUAAGGUUGAUGCUUUGUUUGAUGAGAUGUUGCUACAAAAGGCAAUAAAGACACCCACAGGUUGCCCAAGCCAGAAGAACUCAAGGGCAGACAAUAUUGCAGAUGACACAACUCUUGGAAUCACUCCCCUAACAGUUAUGUUGUCUUCAAGGAUGUCAUACAAGAAGGAAUAAUAGCAGGAAGGCUAAAACUGGCGUAGAAACCUCCCUCAGUUACAAAAGAUCCUUUUCCCCAACCUCAAGUAAACAUGGUCAACUUAAAUUGGCCAAAACAGAAGAGAGGCAAACUAACGACAGGAGCUAGCUCCAGCAGAGGCAGAAGAGUCACAAGGGAGGCUAAUCAAAAGACAAAGGCAACCAUCUUGGCUGGGGUAGUGCGGUGCAGCAAGUGCAAGUGUGAAAGUGAGUUAGAAGUGACUCUGGACAGGCAGAGUCAGCCCACACCUAGCGUUUUUGAUAGGAUUGGAACAUCAUACCAACAGGGCCCAGUUCUGGCUCUACCUAAAGACAGAGCCAGACAAAAGGACUAUCUAAGGCCUGCCCAACGCAGCAGAAGAAUGGGAGAGCAGCCAAAGAAGGAGAUACCAAUUAAGAUGCCUGGAAAUGAUAAGCCUUUGGCCACUAUCAUAGAAGGCAGGUGGUAUUCUGUUGGAAAAAGCGGUAGACCAACUCUGGAACUAACUAGAACACAGAAAAGGAGAGUUCAAAGGCAAUACUGCACCUUCCUUAAGAACAGGGAUAACACACAAGUACUUCCAGAGACCGGUUCUGCCAAAAGAGGGAAAAAUCCAGAAGUACUUCCUCAGGCAGAACAAACAACAUGUCAACCACAAGAGCUGACAAAUACAGAAUCUCCAGGCAGACCUUCAAUCUAUCUUGCCUCAUCUUCAAUCAAUCAGCUUGAACCUUCACAAUCACAAGAUGAAUCUGAACCUAUUCCAGUAGAACGACAAGAAGAUUGGAUUGAAGAAUAUGUAGAAGAGCAGUUGGACUAUGAACCAUCUGCAAACGACCAAAUUGGACUCCUUGAAACAGGAGAGCAAGAAGACUGGACAGAAAAUUGGUAGAACACAAGUUGCCAAUCAAAGACCACCUUCCAGUCAAACAGGCCAGAAAAAGAAUGUCUAUGGAAACGGAACUAAAAGUCAAAGAAGAGAUAGAAAGGCUGGUCAAAGCAGGAAUCAUCAGACCAAUCAUUUAUGCCAAUUGGCUAGUCAAUAUUGUCCCAGUUUUGAAAAGAAAAAUUGGGGUUGUUAAGAUUUGUAUGGAUUAUAGGAAUCUGAAUGAAGCAUCUCCCAAUGAUGAAUAUCCUAUGCCAAUGGCAGAUACGCUAGUAGAUGGAGCUGUUCAUAACCAAAUGCUAUCUUUCAUGGAUGGCAAUGUAGAAUAUAAUCAGAUUAUAGUGGCAGAAGAAGACAUCCAUAAGACAGCCUUCAUGUGUCCAGGACAUAUAGGUGCUUUUGAAUACAUUGUAAUGCCUUUUGGCUUAAGAAAUACAAGAGCCACUUAUCAAAGAGCAAUGAAUUCUGUUUUUCAUGAUAUGAUAGGUCAUUCUUUAGAAGUGUAUAUAGAUGAUGUGGUGAUUAAAUCCCCAGAAGAAGGAGAUCACGUAUCAAAUUUGAAAAGGGCAUUCCUAAAAUGAGACAACAUAAGUUGAAAAUGAAUCCCAAGAAGUGUGUUUUUGGAGUUCAAGCAGGAAAUUUCUUAGGUUUCUUGGUCCACCAAAGAGGCAUAGAGAUUGAUUAAAAUAAGGCAAAAUCCACCAUAGAAGCUCUACCACCUUGAAACAAGAAAGAAUUCAGAGUCUCCUAGGAAAAAUCAACUUUCCAAGAAGAUUCACAUCCAAUUCUGCAUGAAAAAUCCAGCCUUUCUCCUCCUUGCUAAGGUUGAAGCAGGAACAAACGUUUAAGUGAGAAGAACAGCACCAGCAGGCUUUUGAGGAAAUCAAACACUACCUCUCAAAUCCACCAGUUCUGUCCCUACCAAAAAGAGGCAGACCACUCAAAUUAUAUGUUUCUGCAUAAGAAGUGUCCAUUAAGAGUUUGCUAGUUCAAGAUAACAAGGAGGGAAGGAACAGGCAGUCUAUUAUUUAAGCAGAACUCUGACAGAAGUAGAAAGGAAAUAUUCUGUAAUUGAAAGACUUUGUCUAGCCUUAUACUUCACUGCUGUGAAACUCAGACACUACAUGCUGCCAUUCACCAUCUACAUCAGUGCCAAGACAGACCUAAUCAAAUACAUGUGAACAAGGCCAAUGUUGAGAGGCAGAAUUGACAAAUGGACUUUGGCUUUGACAGAAUUUUUUUUCAAAUAUGUUCCUCAGAAAGCUGUCAAAGGACUAGUUGUAGUAGAUUUCCUAGCAGAUCAUCCAGGGGAAGAGAUUGAGAACAUGGAUUCUUUGGAUAUACCAAAUGCCGAUCUGUUAACUACAGCUCAUACUUGCCUUAACAAUCCCAUCUAUUCAGUUCACCUCACACCUUGGAAACUAUACUUUGAUGGAUCAAAGACUAAUGUAACCUCUGGGGCAGGAAUUGUUUUAGAGGAGCCACUGGGGAUCAAACACUAUUAUUCUUUCCAAUUAGAUUUACAGUGCACCAACAACAUGGUUGAAUAUGAAGCUUUAAUUAUUGGCCUUGAAAUGCUGGUAGAAUUAAGAAUUCAGUCUGUGGAAAUCUUGGGAGAUUCUAUGCUUGUGUUAAAACAGAUUGCUAGAGAAUACAAGUGUCUAAAUCCUUCUCUAGCUAUCUAUCUAGUGGCAACCAGAAAUCUUCUGACAGAAUUCAGGGAAGCUACUUUGCAGCCAAUGAAAUGGCUCAGAUAGCAACAGGGGUACAAAUGCCUGAAGACUGUGUGCAAAGGAUCAUCAAGGUAAGAAAGAAAAGUCUACCAUCUAUUCUGACCAGAGGAAUGGAGAUAGAUGUCAAUUCUGCCAUAGUCACUAAAGAUGACUGGAGAGAUCCCAUCAUGAAUUUCUUGCAGUAUCCAACUCUACCUUCUGAAAAAAGAGUUAGGAUCAUGGCUUUAAACUACCUUAUGUGGAAUGGAGAUUUGGUCCGAAAAAGCAAAGAUGAGUUACUUUUGAGAUGCCUAGGAAAGAAUAAGUAAAUAAAGGUCAUGGGGGAAACCCAUGAAGGAAUCUGUGGGGCUCAUCAAGGUGGAAGGAAAAUGUGCUGGUUAAUUAUAAGGUAUGCCUACUUCUGGGUAACCAUGAUGAAGGAUUGCAUUGAGUAUUCCAAGGGAUGUGAGGCUUGUCAAAGGCAUGGUCCAAUCCAACAGGCUUCUUCGGUUCCCAUGAAUCCAGUAGUCAAGCCAUGGCCAUUCAGAGGAUGGGCAAUGGAUCUCAUUGGCAAAAUCUAUCUAGCCAGUAGCAAACAACAUUGUUUUAUCAUUGGAGCUAUAAACUAUUUCACCAAAUGGAUGGAAGCUAAACCUGUUAAAUCUAAUACAUCCCAAGAGAUCAUCACCUUCAUAGAAGAGCAGAUUAUACAAAGGUUUGACAUUCUAGAAUCAAUCAUAACUGACAGAGGAUCUUCUUUCAUAUAUGGAGAGAUGCUAGAUAUGGCAGAAGCAUUCAAAUUCAAGCUACUUCAAUCCACUCCUUAUUAUACCCAAGCUAAUGGACAGGCAUAAUCAAGUAACAAGGUGAUCAUCAACAUUAUCAGGAAAAUGCUUGAGAAAAAUCCAAAGUAAUGGCAUGAGAAAUUAUCAGAAACUCUGUGGGCAUAUAGAACUUCAAAGAGAAAGGCAACUGACAUGACCCCAUAUGCUUUAACCUAUGGUCAUGAUGCAAUUCUGCCUAUGGAUAGCAGUCCAAUCUCUCAUAAUUGCUCAGCAACACAACCUAAUUGGAGAAGACUACUCUCAAGCAAUGCUGCUAGAACUGGAAGGAUUGGAUGCAAGCAGAAUUGACACCCUCAACAAACUCUUAGCUGGGAAGCAGGCUGUAUCAAGGGCCUACAACAAAAGAGUUAAAAACAAGAGUUUUGAAGAAGGAGAAAUAGUCUGGAAAGCAGUUCUGCCCCUUGGAACACACAUAGCUGGUUAUGGAAAGUGGUCACCUACAUGGGAAGGUCCUUUCAUAAUUAAGCAAGUCCGUGGAUUGAGGGCAUACAGAUUACAGGAUCGAAACAGAGACAUCCAUGUUGCGCCAAUCAAUGGCAAAUGGUUAAAAAAGUUCUCCAACUAUGUGGGAUUCACAGGCAGUACAAACAGAUCCUGGAAUUGAAGGAGAACAAGAUAGAAUUGUUGUUUAAAUUUUGUUCAGAGUUGUGCUUUUAAGUUUUUUAGUGUGUUUUGUUCCCUGCGUUCUUUUAUUUUCAUUUAAAAUAGAAGAGAUUGAAAAUAUGAAAAUUCCACAAAAAAUAAAUUGCUUUUAUUUAAGUAUAGUCAUUUAAGAUCAAAACCCUAAUUUCCUAAGGGUUUCUUGCAAACUGGUUUUCUUAAUGGAUAGCUCUUUUUGAAGCAACACCCCCUGGUGGAUUGAAGCCUCUGCAAUCUCCAAUGCUGGCCUAGAAGCUGAGACCAUACUCUGCCCAAGAAAGGUAGCCUUGGUCUUAGAACUCAGACUAGCCCCAAGCCUGUUUUGCAUCUCCCUGCAUUCUGCCAGCUGCUUUUGAAGUUCUUCAAUUUGCUUCUCCAUCUUACCAGCAAUGGCCUUAGCUUCUUUGUAACUUGAAACCAUCUGGUCCAGUUCUCCCUUCUGUUUUGCAUAAUCGGCCAUGUUGGCUUCGUGAUGGCCUUACAGAACUAAGAGGUUUUGAAGGUUAGCUUGAGAUCCUCAUAGCGAUCGUGAAGGUUGAGCACAUCUCUGGCCAAGCCAAGGCUCAUCUCAAGUAUAGGCUUGGGAGCCAUGUUAUGUCUGUGCAAUAGAUCCAGGUCCUUCAUCAAUUGAUCCACAGCUUCUCUAUUCUCAUCCAGUUCCAGCUCAGUGGACUGCCAGAUCUUCACCCUCUAAGUCUAUAGCAUCAAACUCUGCCAAUUCUGGAUCAGCAAAGGAGGUCUUGGUAGAUGAACCUGGAAGAGAAAGGAUAGGCAUCUGCAGAGAAAUAUUGUAAGUCAGCACCAGGCAGAAUCAUAAAAGAAAGAAGGCCAAAACACAACAAUACUUAUAGCUACGAUGGGAGGCUUCAGAGGGCUGGUCACCAUUGCCAAAAUCCUAACAGUUUUGGGCACUUUUGCCUGGAAAGAACGAUAGGUAGAAAGAGACAGGACAAAAUUGCAGAAAACAGAUAGAGUUAAAAUAAGAAUAGGAAAUUACCACAAGUCUAGGAACAGCAACAGCUACCUCCACUUCAGAUUCUGGGACUGCAACAGGAAGUUCUGCUUGUUCCACAGGCUUUGAUGCAGAGUGCUCUGCCUGCUCCUCAGGUAGUAGAAUUGCAGUGGAGUGUUCCACCUCUACAUCCUCGAAAAGGGCCAACUCUGAGCUGGUCAGUUCUGCCCUUGGGGUUUCCUGCUGCUUCUACGCUAGAGCAAUGCUUUCUCCAAUCACUUCAGUAGGAAUCUCCUCCUACAAACAGAUAGAAGUCAGAAGUUAGAAGAAGAACAGACACAAAAGCUCAUGCAGUAAUAAAUAGAGGCUCACCUCUUUUUCAAACUCUUUGUUCUUCUCUUUUAAAUGGACAUCCCCUUCCACUUGCCCCUUCUCUUGCUCUACAGCUUCAAAAUCCUCCCUUAGCUCUUUAUCUAUUCCAGACGUGGUUGUGGGAGCUAUUGCACGCCCUUCUGUGGCCACAUACUCCACUACAGUCCUCUUUCUAAGUCUUUUUGACUUCGUAGGAGGGGGACGAGGACUUUCAGCUGCAAUAGAUAGGCAAUAAAUGAAUAGAACAAGAGCUUAAUCAAAUUAAGACAAAGCAGAACAGAAUCAAGAAGACUCAAACUUUCAAAAUUUACCUAAAGUCGCAGCUUGAAUAGCACUAUCAUGGACCGAAGCAGUCUCCUUUCUAUUGUUCCUUCUGCCAGAAGGAGUCGCCUCAGAAGAUGGUUGAUCUGCCAGAGUUUCAUCCUCUUCAUCUACAGAGGGAAGCUUCAAGUCUCCGGCAACGAUGACAGAAGUGAUUGCACAAAGAAACAAACAAGUCAAAAGUCAAUCCAGAAAGAGAAUAAUAGAAGGAACAGAAUGAAGGAAAGCUUACCAAUCACUUCUCCAGCUUGGAUAGAUUGCCCACGUAUGUUCUUUGUCAAAGAGGGAUCUGUUGCAGACAGAACAAAACAUUAGAAAUCAUCACAGAGGCAGAAUGAGCAAGCAUAGACAGAAUCAAGAAUCUACCUUCUAUGACUUGAGCAUUGAUAUCUUUAAUGGUCUGCACCAUAAAUCUAUGGGUUUCCUCUCCUGCAUGAACAACCCAGGAAUCCCAGCCAUAAAAAAGAAUUUUGAGUGCAGUGCUGGAGGCAGGCAGACCUUGAAAUCUAGCUUUCCACCAAGCGUCAAACUCGGCAGAACUACAGGAAUUCGGUUCCCAGGAUGGAUAGAGAGCAUCUGCACUGUUAUUUAUCUUUUUCACUACACAUCUAGCAUCCUUGUGCACUUCCAGAUCAUCCAAAUCCCUCCAGGAAGUGGCCCGAUUGCAGCUUCUAUAGGAUUUGAGUGAAAAAGCUGAGGGCAGCCAAGUUUUCUUGCGCUGAAGUUAGGAUGAUAAACUUUUGCCCCUAGAUGAUAAUUCGGAGGCUUUCCACCUCCAUGGGGUAGGUCUCUCGACAGGGUUACACUUAGGAACUUCUUCCUGAAGUCAAUUCUGUCCGCUUCUUCAUCUGGUUCCUUCUCAAAUAAUCUGAUCAUCGCCUACCACUGAGCUGCAGAUCUCUAGUGCAAUGCCUGAAGAACAUCAGACACUCCUCGAUUGAAGUUUGGGUACUUCUACUGACAUCAAGGGAAGAGCCAGAACUUGGUCUUCAGGCAGAACUAUGUCCGGAAAUCUCAACUCAGGGAAAUAGACCUGCAGCCAGAUCUGGAUCAUCCAGAACGCACCAGGAGUAGACAGGUUCAGGGGGUUCUCCAGGGUGGUGGUAUGCAGAUUCUAAAAUAGAUGGGCCAGAACUGUAGGCCCAAGCCCAACGUUAGUAUGGUUAUGCAGUGCUUCUGCCAGGUGCCUGUAUUCGAGUAGAACUGUGGAAGAACGAUUUGGAAACACAAAUCUGUUCAACUAGUACAUAAGGAACAACAUAUGCUGUUAAUCCUUGUCCUUCUUAGCACUGGACUUCCUCAAAUAAUGAGCAGUUCUGGUUGAUUGAGGCUAGAGAGAUAGUGAAUGGCUCAGACAGUUUCUCUUGGUUCUUUCUCCUGUGAUAGUCACCCACUGCAUCCACAGGUCUUCUUCCAUAGGGUCUGAACCCAAAAAUAUGAGCCAUAUCCAAUAGAGUGGGAGUCAUUGGGCCUAGGCGAAAAUCGAAAGUAUUACUGGUAGAAUUCCAAAAGCACAGAGCAGCAGCCAGAAGGUUCUCAUCCCUAUUUAUCGACUACUUGGAUAGAAGAAUGGCGUCAUAUAUGCCAACCCUCUUCCAAUGAGCUCCAUACCGUAGGAGGAGCCUGUCAAUCCAAUCUGCCUACUUCACUGGACUAUUCCUCGCUUCACUUGAGGGAAACGAGCGGCUUAUGUUCUUGCUAACCCAAGUAUGGGAUGCUAAGGCAGAAGAGCUCUAGAAACACAGGGGAGCUUCAACGUCAUCUUUAAACAGAGUAGCCAUUUCAGCAUGGACAGAGCCGAACCAGUGAGGGCCCAAAACUAGGGUAUUCUUGAAAAAAUGGACAUUCUUAUCCAGAUUUUUUUUUUGCAAAAGAGUGGAGCUUGCUUCUGACCUCUAUCGCAUGGUUAUCAACCCUAGUACCAGUCAUGUAAUCAGGAGGAACUGAAGAAGAGGAACCUUGGGCACGGGUUUUUGGAGACGACAUUUUCAGGAGUUUGAGCUAGAACAAAGGAAGUAAUUAGGAAAGGAUCAAGGUCUGAUCAAAGAAAAGGGUGAAAGAUUCUAAGAAGUUUGAAACGAAUCAAACUCUGAAGGAAUUAGGUUCUUGAUGAACAGGAGCUAGGGGUUUGAAUUUCUUUUAAAAGCUGAGAAACAUGGGAAGAAGAAGGCAAGGCGUCAUAUGUUGAUGACUAGCUAGUAGCUAGCAAAUAACUACCUAGUUUUCCACGAAAUUUAGCUCAGUAGACAAGACAUGGCAGACAUGGGUUAAUUAAAACGGAAGAGAGCGGCGCGCAACAUUAAUGGCCAAAUCGAUUCAAUCUGAACCAUUAAAAAUUGGAAACAAUUUCCAGAAAAACAGUUCAGAUUCAAGGGGGAAUUGUUUGGGCCAACAAUUUACGCACCCAGCCCAACGCUGGGGGCCCAGAAGGACGAGGCGAAAUCAGGACCCAGGCAGUUUGGACUAGAAAUGGAAUCAAGGGCCCAAAGUCAAAAAGCCCAAACACAAGUCAGAUUUUUUACUAAGACCCAAAAAUUGGAAGAGAGCCCAACCCAUUUUUGAAACCCACAAAACGUGAGCACCACCUGGGCUUGAUAACUAGAAAGCUGGGAAAGUAGCCCAAAAUAGAGAAAACCUAGCCCAAGACCUGUCAAUCCACGAAAAUAAACUUGGGCUUCGGAAAAACAGAGAAAAAUCAUCCCAUAGUUCCAAAACUCAAACCUGGACUUGGCAUGAUCAAAUGAAAAAGAAAGAAAACCAAAGAUAAAAGCAAACCCACAUGACUACCUGACUUUGAAAAGUUAAAAAUUUCAACUGGGUUGAUAGGGGGUUAAUGAAGGCAAGUCUUAAACAGGCAAAAAUCUCCAGCCUUUUCAGGCAAAAGAAGAUUAGAAUCCCUUUUCUAUAUUCAGAAAAAUUCUUCUCCAAGCAGGUACCAUUUUCAAGAGAUAAGCAGACUACGAUUUCAAGAGAUAAGUAAGGUGCAAGGGAGUUGUUCAAAACAGGAAAGCAAACUGACCAUCAUGGCAGAUUGAGUUUUUCUCUUUACCCAAACAGAGAACAAAGAGAGUUAGUUUUCUUUCAUAAAAGCAAGGAAAAGACCUCUAUGAAAGCUGAUUGUUGAUGGUUCUUAUCUGCCAACACAAUAACUUCCUUCUUUUAUGGCUUUGAAAAGAAAAGAUCUCGUUUUUUAGAAAAUCUGCCGCCCAUGUUUUAGAUUAAAAUUCCACUCCAGUAUUUUCUAUAAAUAUGAGAGGAGGUGAACAGAUCAACGGACAGCCAAAAAAUCAAUCAAAAACAAAAACUCAAAAUGACCACUUGAUCUCAAACGCCUUCAAAACACUAAAGCAACCAAAAACUCAUUGAGCCACAAGAAACAAGUCAGCUAUAACCCAGAAUCUCUAACUUCAGUCCAAGUUUCAAAGAAACAGUCAUUCAAAGAGAGAUUUUCUCUCGUUACAAAUUCGGUUCAGCAUAAGCCAAAUCAAGCAGAGUUCGGUUUUUACAAAUAUGAAAACCUCAACAAAUUUAUAGAGAGCCCUGAUCAAGCAGAACAUGUAUCAUAGUGUAGUUCUGGCUCAAUAAUCAUCAAAUUCAGCCACUUCUGCCCCUUCCAGACUAAAGAGGCUCCAAUUCUACUCGUUCACAAAGCCUUUCAGGGCUUGAAAUAGAUUAAAGCUCUGUCAAAUUCGAACGUUGGUAUCGAUUCACAGCUGAAACUUGACCGUUGAAAGUGUUGAUAGUCCAGUCUAGCACAGGCACAUCCAGUCCAGCCUGGAUCAGAAGCACCUAUCCAGGUAUAAAUGGAAGUCCAACCCUCUUUUUGUCUUUUAGAGUUGGUUUUUCCUUUUUGAGUUUUGUAAAAGGCACUUCUGACAAUUCGUUAUCUUAUCAUUUAUUAUGGCAAGAACUACCAAUCUUGUACUGUGAAAAUUUGUGUAGUCGUCACUAGUCUGAAGCAAGAAAAGAACUUACUUGGGAGAUAUUCCUCGCCCAAAUUCACAAUCGCUUGUUCAGAGAUUAGUAACUUGGGGCCAAGUUAUCUAUUUUUAAUGAAGUCUGCUAGGAUUUUUCAUUUCUAACAGUGGCACGCUCGCACACUAAAGAAAGUUGACUUGUUGACCAGUCAAUGGUUCUCAAGGUAAUGAGGAACUUUACUUUACCAUCACAGGAACAAACAUAAAACGAGUGAACAUGUAUAUCCAAUGGCCACAAAUAUUUCCUAUCGACCAAUCUUUCCUAGACAUAUGUCUGAGGACAAUUUGGUUUCACCAAUGAGGAUUGCCAAUGGGUACCUCAUGGAGGGUAUGCUAGAAAGGAAUGGAGAUGGUUUCGGUAGGUCGUGGCAUUCAAACAGGCAAGUGGAAGAUUUCUAGAUUUGAUAGGGGCGGCUUACAAGAUCCAGUUUCAAAUGAUAUUCUUAAUCUGGGUGUAGUGGGGGAAAAGAAAUUGGGUGGGGGAAGAAAUCUUUUGUGGUUGGGGGGAAGAAAUUGGGAGGAAGGGGGAAGAAAUUGGGAGAGAGAGGGAAUCUGGGUGGGGGGAAGAAAUUUGCCAGAUUUUAUUUUUAUUUUUUAUUUUUAAAUUUUGAAUUAAUUUAACAAUAAUAAAUAAUUUAAACAAUAAAAUAAAUUUUUAUUAAUUUUAUGUCCACUUGUAAGUCCACGUCAUCAAAAAAUGGGUUCCACUUUUGCCACAUCAACAUUUAACAGAUUCACUAACGGUUUAGGUAACGGGAGGGGGGGGGGGGCAAUUUGUAGGGUUUCCGUGAUGUUGAGUAUGUACUCGUAAGUGUCCCUAAAAUUGAGUAUGAACUUGAAAACGACCCUAUAGGUUGGGGCGUUUGGUGUAGUUUAUCCAUUAUUUUUUUGUUUUUGCACAGUAGAACAUGUUUAAUUAUCUUUUCAAUUUGAAUUUAAAUUAGAACAAGUUUCUAACUGUUGUGUUUGAAGCCGCAAAUAGUAUUAUAUAUACCCAAUAUCCAACCGUAAAAAAUGUAACUUAUUUUUCAACAAACAAAUAAAACUUCAUAUUUUUCUUACAUUCUAUUUGGAGAAGCACAUCUAAGUUCGCCAGAGAUCAAGGAUCCGAUGUUGGAUCCUUGAUUUAUAGAUACUUAAAUUCUUGGAGAUAGACAUCCAGCAUUGAGAAUGGGCGAAAUUCUAUCUUUAGGACAUUGCCAAUAUGCAAGCCUCUAUCUUAAAAUAAAGUCAAUGUUCUCUUAUUUUACUAUAUUAGUUCAUUCAUGCAGUUUGUAUUAUUUGUUGCUUUAUAUAAAUAUUGUUCACUGCGUUAAUAUAUUGAUCCUAAGCAUAUAAGUCGUUUACUGAUUGUUCCUAACAAUCUAUUGUCAAAAUACAAUAUUUUUUUUAAUGUUUUGAAAGGGCACAGCUAAUAUAAUUAUAAAUUUGGGUCAAACAAAUUUUUAUUUAUUUAAAAAAUUGUUAUUCAAAGUUCAAAUUUGGAGUGCCACCAAUAAUACUCUUUAGAGCAUCUCCAAGGGAAUGGGGAAAAGCAAAAACAUUUAAUUGCAAUUAUAAGGUUAGUAAUUCGGAGUUGAAGGGAGUUUUAAUGGAGAAGAAGAUACUCUUCUUGCAAGGGCUUACUAGACCUAGCAAUAUUGUCAACGAUUCAAGAAAACGGCACGAAUUCGUACGAAAAAAUCAUUAUUCGGAUUGGACUUAACAGAUCGGGUUAAAAACGGGUGGACCCGUUAGCCACCCGUUAAGCUAAUGGGUCAUGUCAGUAUCAUUCGCGAAUCACUCGUUAACCCAUUAAGGGCAACGGUAGUUCAUAAAUUUUUAUAUCUUCCAUUUCUCUUUUUCUUUUCUUUUUUUCUCCUUCUUUCUUACCUUUCUUAUCUGCCAUAGUGAAGCUUGCUUAUAGUGUGCUAAUCUUUUGAAGUGCUUGUGUAAACCUCUGGUGCCUUGCACUAGAAGGCUCGUCAACACCACUUUGGACUACUCUUAUGUUCAAGCUGUUCGUAAUCUGACUUGACUUGGAUCUAUGGCUGCGUUCCUCACAGACAGAAAAAUCCCAUAUAAUUUUAUUUGCAAAAUAGAGGGUAUACAGAAAACGAUAGUGCAUACUAUGUAGACGACUCUAUCUCUAGGCUUUGGACAUUACCAGAGGGCCCUUCCCUCUUGAGUGGUGAUGGUAAAGAUGGCCAUUACAAAUGUACAAAAUUUAAGACUAUAAGAAAGAAUUCUUAUAGCUUCCUUAUUUAAUUUGAGAUAUACAAAAUAGUUAAACCACGAUACGAAAUAGACGAUGGCAUAUCUUAAAACUGUCGUGAUAUCUCAUCUAGGCUUUGGACAUUACCAGAGGGCCCUUCCCUCUUGAGUGGUGAUGGUAAAGAUGGCCAUUACAAAUGUACAAAAUAUUAAGACUAUAAGAAAGAAUUCUUAUAGCUUCCUUAUUUAAUUUGAGAUAUACAAAAUAGUUAAACCACGAUACGAAAUAGACGAUGGCAUAUCUUAAAACUGUCGUGAUAUCUCAUCUUAUACACUACUAGCAUUGGAUUGAUUUUUAGAAGACGACGCUUGUCACUAACAAGCGUUCUCUUUUAAAACAUGCUAAACAAAAAACAUAAUGCUUAAGCGAAUUCGCGCUCAACCUAAAAUUUUUGAAUUUCCCCCUUGUCUCUGAAAACCUUAUCUCUCCCUCCUUGAAACCCUCCUCAAUUCUAACACCCUCAUGAAAAACACUCCCUCUCACAUAUCUUGAGCACUUCACUCCGUACAAAAAUCAUGAGAAAAUCGACAUCAAGGAAGGUCUCUUAGGCCACUUCAGGCCCUAGGCUGCCAUCGUCACUUCAGGCCUGGGCUCUCUCUCACCUCUCUGAAGGUCCAGUCAUAAUCUAAAUGUUGGUAAUGUAUGUGUCUUUGUGUUGAUUGAUGACACAUAAAUCACCAACAUUCAAAUUAUUGCAUUUCUCAAAUUGCUGGCUCAAUUAUGAUGAGGAACAUGUGCUCAUUUAGUACGUAGCUCCCACUGGUACAAUUUCAUAUCUCGUGGGAUUUCCCAAUAUUUCUCUUAUAUUCAUUUUACUAUGAUUUUGUUUUAUAUAUCAUUGACCAUAUUUAUUUUCUAGUUGAUUUGCAUCUAUAGCUCUUCUCCUGCAAUCAUCCAUAGUAAGGCGAGCGAGCAAGCACUCUGCAAAUAUGGCUUGUUUUUCUUCUCUCUUUCUCUGCCAUCAUAUUUACCUCUGUAUUAGGUUUAUGAUUAAUUUAUGAUUGGAGGCUGAAAAAGUUAUGUGCAGGAUGAAGCUCUUAUCAAAACACAUGGAAGACCAUAUGACAAUUUGAGAAUGAGGUUUUCCUUUUCUUUCCAAUCAUCAAUUUAGUAAAUCCAUGUUUAUUUGUUUAAGAUAUUUGAAUUAGCAAGCCUAAAAAGCUGCCAUGGCAUAUUCCAAUUAUUUGUUUAAGAUAUUUCAUGUUAUUUGUAGCUUUGAAAACCUGCUUGGUGUUCUUUUAGGUCUGAUGAGCGUAUGGAAUGUUUCAUUUUUUGGAUACCCUGCUCUUAAGAACUGGAGAAGUUUGCUACACACAUUCAACAACACAUAAGUUCACACUACCCUCAUAUCUACAUUUUUGUAUUAAAUGCUCUUAUACCUUCCAAUUUUUUCAGCAAUGUAGGUUGGCAUGGAAAGUAAACCGCAAGGAUGUAUCAAGUCAUGGUGUGUAAUACUUCCCUCAGUUACCACUGUGACAAUUGAUGUAGUUAGUCCUCAAGCUACUGUCAUUCUAAAGCUACAUAGAUCUUUUUGCUAAGGUUAGGUUGCUGCUAAAUAGGUUUAUGUUUAAGAGUAUUGGGGUCUCUUUUUACGUACACGCUGAGAAGCCUAAGGAAUAUCUUUAAGUCACAUCAUUUUGAUAUGACCGUAUAGUGCUCUCAAAGAGAAACAACAUAUACACACGACAACUGUGAUGUCUCAGGUCUAAGGAUUAAUUUGCAUUAUCACAACAUAGAAUUCUUUGUUUGACACUUGUGAGUAAGACUUCCAUACAAGAAUUCUAGAGUUCAUCACAUUUAGUGGACUCCAUCUUCUAUAGAGCACCUACACAUCUGUCUCAGUGUCUCUACAUGAAUGACUUGAGACUAGUUAUCCUCCCAAUUGAGCAGACAUAACGUGUACCAGUCUUUGUGGGUCACCUUUGUCCAAUUGGUGAUACUGUGACCAAGAACAUUUUAGGAUAAACACAUCAUUCCAUUUAAGUUUGAGUUCUCCAAGUGGUGGGUUUUGAUGGUCGCAAAGCCCAAGAAGAUGGGCCUUCAAUUAACUUAUAAAUAUGCGUAAGUAAGUUUUUGUUUGGUCUGGGGCAAAAGACUCUGGAAUUCACUAUUAAUUGAAAAGGUUAUAGUCUCAUGCCCACUUGAUAGCAUAUCUAAUACUUAUUAAUAAGCCAUCUCUUUUCUAAAUAAAAAAAAUAAAAAAAUAGGUCAUCUCUAUUUUUUUUUUUUAAUAGUUAUGUCAUCUACAUGUUAUAGUGUUAAAUAGAUGGGUAACAUAUCUUUUUAUAUAUUCCUUUUUAAAAUAAUUCAAGUUCAAAAGGUUUAUGCCUCAACUUCUCAAGGCUUAUGCCUCACUUUAAGGGACCAAAAAUGCGUACCCUCUAUACCUCGCCUUUCAAAAUAUUUUUUCUAUGAUUUAUGAAUGACAUUAGUAUUGUUUAAAUUCAAGGGUAUUUGAUAUUGUCUAAAUAAUUUUAUGGAGCUUUAAGCUUUUUAAAUUUUUUCAUUUCCUAAAAAAUUCAUAGAUCCGCCACUGGGUGUUGGUCAAAGGCCCUCCGAUAUCUAAGUCAGUUAGAUGCUCUUAAGGAAGAUACAAAAAUAAUAGAGAAGGUCAAAGUUUUCUCUAUGGUACGAGAGAGCUAGGGCCGUGAGAGAGAGAUAGUGAGGGGGCGGCGAGAAAGAGAGGGAGUUCUUCGAGUUUUUCAAAUUACCUCAGGUAUAUGGUGUAGCCAUAAAUUUAUAGUGCUCUUGCCUUCUAGGGUUUUUCAGACAAUAAUUCCCAUAUGAAAGUGAAUUAUUCUCUCCCUUAAAUAGAGAGAUUGGAUCAAUUAGAGAUUUAAUGAAAAUCAAAUCCUUAAUUUAUGGUAUUAUCCCUAUCUUAAGUCUAAACAAUUGGCCAAUUAAAUUGAGCACAAUUGUUGACCUAAGAAAUAUUCCCAUUGUCCACAUGGCAUCUUGUGAUUGGUUGUCGAAAUAUUUACUUCCACAAAUACCCCACAACUUCAGCGUGGAUGGCAGGUUGCUUCAUUAAUUCAGCAUAGGUGCUCCAUGGGUUAUUGUGAACCAAGUAUCACAAGUUGGAUUCACAAAGGCCACUUUCGAACACACCGAAGGCUGCACAGUCAUCUGUCUCUGGGCAGCGGGAAUACUUAUGACUAAAGUAGGCAGCGUACUCUCGAAUGGGUUCAUCUUCACCUUGCCGAAUCAUGUAUAGAUCGUCCGCUGAAUACAAACGAUCGGUCUUAAUCAAUAAAUAGUCCAAGAAAAUUUGCUUCAGGCAGUCGAAAGAGUUAAUGGUUCCAGGGUUCAGUCAAUACAACCAGUUCAAGGCAACUCCUGUAAGGGUGGAGGGAAAGAGAAGGCACAUGCCUUCAUCACGAAGACCCUUGCACCCUAAGGCAGACUGGAAGGAGUGGAUGUAGGUCAGGGGAUCUUCCUUACCAGAAUAGAAGAUGAUGUGAAGUGGCUGAAUGUCUUUUUCCUAGCGAGAGGUAAGGAUUCGCUCAAUAAAGGGGUCAGGGAGUGGCUUCAUCCAAAGGAGCUGAUGACUUCGUUGUUGCUCAUCCUCUAGGGGAAGCACCUCCUCAAAUAAAAGUCGCAUGGCAAAAUUGGUAUGGGGAAGGGUGUUGGGUUCUGAAGAUUGGUGGUUCCUAGGGGGUGAUGGCAGAUAAGUUUCCCAUUCCUCGAAGGCUUCGGACUGGUACGGUCCCAGUCCUCAGGAUUAUAAGGUUCCUAAUCUUCAGAAUCACCAACCUCUUCCUGGGCAGGGAGAUGUGUGGGCUUCAACAGAGGGCCAAGUUAAACGACAGGUGGGUCGUCGAGAUCUACUGGAAUCUGAAUAGGUUUUGGUCGAAGCUCAGAGAUGCGAUCAUUACAACCUUUGUAUACCUUGAUUGGGGCAUAAGGCUGGUCCCUGUGUAGGGAAAUUUGGAGAGGUCUUGACUUGGCUGCCUCAGGAUGAAAGUGGUCUUUGCCUUUGUUAAGCCAAGGCAGCGUUGGAGCACUGUGAAUGGAGAUAGUUGGUUGAUGCGGUAGGGUAUGCUUGACACCUUAGGUGACAUCGUGCUAGGCUAACAAGUGGCAAGUGUUCUCCCAGUUGUGCUUCAAGGUUCAAGAGUCAUGUUCCAACUUGACUUUUUUUGUGCGGAGGUAGUCGUAGUUCUCUGUCAUUCUCUAACAUCGGCAUGAAGUCACUCCACUUCAGCCUGAAGAUGCACAUUGAUUAAAGGUUUCCUUCUGGAGGAUUCCACAUGGAGGUGUGAUGCUGAAUGCCAAGGAAAGCGCGCUCAGCGUGAUGAGGUGUGAUAAACUAAAGAGACGAUGAGGUCUGAUAGGCGAAGGAGCCAGCAGGGCUAAUAGAAAUGUGACAUUCAGAAGUCGAUUCCCAUAAACGAGGCCAAACUGUUGAUAUCCAAAAUUGGGUUCAACUUAGAUAGAAGAAGUGUGGAGUCUUCAGUAGGACAGGCUAUUGCCAUAUCGGAGGGAGUUGUCUUCGAUAGCUAAGGUCUUGAUGACGUCAUCAGUGUUUGGGGAUUUCUUACCUUCAACAGCUGUGGGUCUUCGUAGGUGCCAGUCCCUCAGCGUCGAAUUUGCUCGAUUGAUUAUGGUACAAACAUAACAUGUUUACUCAAUCAUUCGCCAAGAAACACCUAAUAUUAGUUACCCCUUCUAGAUUUUUCUUAAUGUAUACCUGUGCAUAUAUUGGGAAAUGCUCUCUUGGCAGACUGAAUUUGGAUCAUUCAUCUGGGUCAUUCUUGUUCGGAUGUGUGGUCUUGAUUUGUAGAACGUUAUCCUAUAUACUGUUGACUUCUACUUUAAAUCCUCCAUCAUUCAAGUGUAUAUGCUAGCUGCUUCUCUAAGCCACCUUGUACACCCCCUGAUUAACUAGUCAGGAAUCACAUAAGGCAUUUUCUUCAUCCUCUAAAUCUUGUUUAUCAGUAACUAUCUCUCACUUGUCUUCUGCAGGUUCUUCAAACUUCGAAGGUCUUCACCUUCUUCCUUGCCAAAGAUCCUACACUUCUCUAAGUUGACCCUCCCAAAAAUAGCACUAACAGUUUAGCGCCGUAUGUGGGAAACAAUUUCUGAAUCCCACUUCCUUCUACCAGCCCUGCUGGCUCCCUUCCCCAUCAAGCCCUGUCGCCUCUGCUACUCCCCACACUCUACUAUGCCGAGCGAGGCCAGCCUCGAUACCCAGCGCCACACCCCUCGUGGGGAUUCCUCUGGAAAGAAACCUUCGGCGGAAAGGAAUCUCUAGGAAGAGGUGGAGCACCUCCGCACUAGUAAGGCCAAGAUGACGGAGAACUACGAACACCUUUGUACAAAGAAUGUUGAGCUGGAGCAUGAUUGUCUUGCCCUGAAGCGUAAUUGGGAGAAGACUCAUCACCAGGGCGCCCAGUAAGACCUUACUCAGGAUGUUGAACACACCCAGCCGAACUAGCCAGUGAUCUCAGGUUAUAGCGCCCCGAUCAAUGAGACCUUACCCAGGCUCGGCAAGGGCAAAGGCCACCUUCAUCCAAAGACGACCAAAUUACGACUUCUCCACAUUUCCCCACCGAAGGAUCAGCCCCAUAUCCCAACAAAGAUCUAUAAAGAUUGCAGGCACCGUAUCUCGGAGCUUCAGCCAUAGCCUAUCCUUGUCAGCCUCCACGACCCACGGGUGGCACACCUAGACCUCUUACCAAAGCCCAGCCACUUAUCUGCCGGGGAAGGUGCAAGAGACUCCGAUGAAUGGGAACCUUAUCACCCUAAAGACUGGGAGUCUUACUAUACCGAAGCGUUCGAGGAGUGGGAAGCUUACCCAACCCCUACCCACCCACACCCCAAGCUUUCAGUACCUGGUGUUCUCCCUCAUGCCGACCAGCCAUAAGGCUCCUCUUUGAGAAGGUCCUACACCUUGAGAGUGAACAGCACCGCAACCAUCAGCCCUUCUGGAUGAAACCAUGCCUUGGCCCUUUCACUGAACGUAUCCUCAACUAUCAUCAAGAGAAGGACAUUCAGCCGCUCCGCAUUGCCUUUUACACAGGCCAGGAGGAUCCCCUCACCCAUAUCCGCUCUUUUCAGUCUGCCCUAGGAUGCAAAGGCCUCAAUGUUGAAGGCAUGUGCCUCUUUUUCCCUUCUACACUCAAUGGCGUUGCUCUGAACUGGUUCUAUUGGCUGAACCCACGAACUAUCAACUUCUUCGACAGCUUGAAGCAAACCUUCCUGGACCAUUUUAUGAUCCAGACUAAUCGCUUGUACUCUGCAGACGACUUGUAUAUGCUUCGACAGGGUGAGGACGAACCCCUUCGGGAGUAUGCCGCCUGCUUCAGCCACGAGUAUUCCUGCUGCCCAGUGACAGAUAACCGAGAUGCUUACGGAGCUUUCAAAAGUGGUCUUCGUGAAUCAAACUUUCGCUAUCUUGUCCAUAGCAACCCGUGGAACACUUACACCGAACUCAUGAAGCAGGCAGUAGCACAUGCAAAGGCCGAAUACUUUAACUCCAAGCAUGGCCUAACGAACUCGUCACGGAGCACUUUUGGUCAUCCCCUGCUUGCUUCAACACCCACCCCAGCCAAACCUCACCAUUCUGCUUCUGCCCCCGAUAAUCAGAGUACCCAGCAUCCCAAGAGGAAGGAUGGCUACUAGCACACAUUCAGCAAUGAGAAGUGCGGCCCACAUGGCAACAACCAUCAGUCCAGCAGUAACAACCCUUCAAGGACAAAUGGUCGUGCCCCACUCCCAUUCGAGCCCAAGCCCAGGUUCGAAGUAUUCACCACCCUCAACACCACUUACGAAAACGUCCUGGUCCAUGAGGCACCCAUUAUACCCAAACCUCCCCCCGAAGACAAACCAACAAGCUCAUGCCGGACACAGGCGUCUUCUGCCGUUUUCACCAGUUUACUAGCCAUGAUACAGAAUCUUGCAUAGCCCUACGCAACAUCAUUGAAGGUCUCAUUCGUGAGGGGAAACUAGACAAGUAUGUGCACAACCUUCCACCUCCCCCGAACCCUCACCAACGGCAGAUCAACAAGAUUUUCACCAUUAGUGGUGGUCCUACAUUGGUCGGGACCUGCAAUAACUCCAUUAAGCACUAUGUCUGCUCUUCUUAAGCACAUCAGGUCUUCAGCACUGAGCACGGGCGCCUGCUGAAGACGAUCUGAAAACAGCCAUGCCGAUGCUUUAGUAAGACUAGCUUCGACCGUAGAGCAGGGCAUUGGUCGCAACAUCCACAUGGAGUUCCUGGACCAGCCCAUCACUCAGAUAUAAACCAUUUAUACCAUUGACCAUAGCCCCACUUGGAUGGACCCCAUCCUUCAGUUCUUACAAAACCAGACACUGCCUGUUGAUCCUGCUGAAGCACGGUGUGUUCGUUAUCGCUUCGCUCGAUACCUAAUCAUCAAUGAUGCUCUAUACAAACGUGGCUUCAACCUCCCCUACAUUCUGUGUCUGACCCAGAGGAAGGUAACUAUGUCCUUCGGGAGAUCCAUGAGGGCAUCAACGGCAACCAUUCAGGUGCUCGCUCACUAGCACACAAGGCCAUUCGGCAACAGUACUUCUGGCCUUUAUUUCACACCGAUGCCCAAGCCAUCACCCAGAAGUACGACAAAUGCCAGCAGUUCGCCAACAUCCCACAGCUCCUAGUAGAACCAUUGACUGCCAUGGUCAGUCCUUGGCCAUUUGCCCAAUGAGGACUGGAACUCAUCGGACCUAUGCCUGAGGGAAAAGGCUGGUUAAAAUACGCAGAUAUUGCCGUCGAUUACUUCACCAAGUGGGUUGAGACCGAAAUCUUAACUACCAUCACCGCAGCUCGCAUCGAAACAUUCGUCUGGCAAAUUAUUGUAUGUUGCUUCGGCAUCCCCCACACCAUCGUCACAGACAAUGGUCGGCAGUUUGACAAUGCCAAGGGUUGUUGGCCAGAAUUACUCCCAGAGGUUCUCUGGUCCUACCACACCACCUUCCGUACCUUCACAGGAGAAACAUCUUUCUCCCUUUCCUUUGGUACCGAAGUCAUUGCCCCGGUAGAGAUUAGCUAGCCCACAUACCGAACUUCCACUUAUGACGCUAAAGCCAACAACAGGAAGUUGGCCUUAUACCUUGACCUCAUCGAAGAACUUCGUGAUCAGGCAAGCAUGCGCAACACCUCCAACAAACAAUGUGUCGCCAGGUACUACGACUCCCUGAUAAAACCUCGUGCCUUCAGGAUGGGCGACUGGGUCAUGAGCAAGUUGUCAUUGGCCACCAAAAACUCUACUGAGGUUACCCUGGGACCUACGUGGGAAGGCCCUUAUGAGGUAACCAAGGUCUGCCGCUCAGGCACUUAUCAUCUCCGUGAUCCCAAUGGCAAGACUUUGCCUCAUCCAUGGAACGCUGAUCACCUUAAGUACUAUCACAAGUGAUCACAGGACGCUUCUUGUUUUGUGUCCAGGUAAGGUUCUUUGUUUCCUCAUGCCUCGGCACUAUCUUAGGCCUCAGGUUAACACACUAUGUACUUUUUGCCUUUCGGCAUCUAUCUAAUGAAAUGUCUGACUUCGGCUUCUUUCUAUCAUCACAUGUAUCAUUUCUGCCAACACAAUGAAUACCAAAGAAAACAAGUCUAAUAUCAUAGAAAAUAAAGGCAACCUUACCCCAUGGCAAGGUUGAAUGUUUAUACAAAACAAAGAUAACACAUCACUGUUCCAAAAAUAAACAAAAUACAUAAGGUAGGAAAAGUCUUCAAGCCUCGGCACACGGCGCACCUAGGGUGGCAAGCUCUGGAGCAGUGAUGGCAGUCUCCUCAACUGGCGAGGCAACUCCAGUGACAUCGGCAGUAAGACUAAUUGAAGGUGGCACACCACUCGUAUCGAAGUUAAUCUCAAGCAAAGGGUUGAACUUUGCAAAGGUCUCCUCCUAGUGAAUCUGCUCAUCCACCAACCAGUUCAGGAUAUAACUGUUCAGCUCCUCCGAAGUUCAGUACGACUCCACCGCUUUGGCUCAGGCAACAACUAUCUCUUCGGCCUUCUUCUAUUUCGCCUCGACAACUUAUUCUGGUGAAUCUUAAAAUAACUAUAGAAACUUCUGAUGUUCUCGAGACACUUUUGAAAAAAUGACUCCAUGAAAUCCCUGAUGAUAAUAUUCGGUUGACAAUAAUUGUCCUUAUGACCCCUUGAAUUGUCGACAGACUUUAAUGAAGGCCAUGUGAAGUUUUGAAAUCUGGAAAAGAAAAAGGAAAUAUUGAGAUCCGUGAAUAUAUUGGGAUCCUGGAAAUGUUAUAGAUAUUGUCUUUGUAAGGUCUGAUUGGAGUAACUGUGUUUCAACUCAAAUUCCUUCCUUUUUCUAAAAGUUCAGCUUUUCUAAGACUUUCCUUCAGACCUUUCAAAUGGUUUCCUCUUCUUCUCGCCCAAAACAUUUGGAUUUAAAUGUUGCUCCUAAAAUAACUCAUGACACCAAAGUCUAGCAUCCAUCUAUUGUAUCCCAAAAUUGUCAUCUUACGAUUAAUGAUUCUGUGUUGAUGAAUGAUACAACUGCUAUCAUAGUAGCUAGGAGUUUCCUUACUCCUAUGGAUGAAAUAUUAUUAAUAGGAAGGUCUGAAGAAAAGGCUAUUGAUGAUUCAAUGGCUUUUAGCAUUCAGAGUGUUGCUUCUGUAUCUAACAUGGCUCAUCAUUUGCUUGCCAGAGCAAACGAGAUUUAGGAGCUGAACACUGAAAAUUCAUAUAUUCGGAGAAUACUUUAUGAUUCACAGCAAGAGGUUGAAGACCUUAAAAAUGAAAAUAAGGCUUUAUUGAAACUAGUGAGUUCAUACUCCAUAUACACGCAGACAAGGCUUGACAUGCUAUAGAUUUCCAAUGAAAAGAUUCUGGAAGACCAAGAGAGGCUCAUGGCUAGGUUCCAGAGGUGUUGCUCUCUUUCUCUAGAGACUUCCAAAUCAUAAUGGAAUUUUAUAGAUUUUACAGAGCCUACUCAUUCCGUACAGGUGAAAAGAAUCUAUUUUUUGUAUGUUCUUUUCCUGUUAUAAUAAUUAGGCAAAUUCUUAAACUUGCCCAUGGGGUUUGCACGUCUUUUCAAAAUGACGGUUUAGAACCUUGUGCCUUAUAAGUUCAAAUAACCACAUAAAUUCUCUCAAAUUAUAUAUAUUUCAAUGCAUGUGAGUCUGGAACUUCUAGCUCGCAUUAAACACAACCUCAUAAUUUAAUUGCCUUUUUCAAAUGGGCAUGAAAUGUAAAUUUAGGGAAAAGCCAUAAUAUUGUAAUAUAGUAGUGAAGAGCAUUAACUACUAUAUACCCAAAACUUCAUGUAUUCAUGUGUACGGCACUUUUCACAUAUACAGUACUAUUACAUUAUCAAGGAACUUCAGGUCCUUAUUUACAUGUCAAGGAUCAUGGAUCUUCAUAUCCAAUCACUUGUUUACAAAUAUAGUAUUGGAGUGACUGACAGCACUCAUAUCAUUAUCAUCAUCAAGGAUCUUCAGGUCCUGAUGUAGUUGUAUAAUGAGGAUUAAGGAACUUUUGGUCCUGAUCUUUAUAUGCUAUAAAAUUGAUCAUAGCACACAAUUAAUUCAUAAAAUAAAUUGCUAUUAAUUUUUUAUAAAUAAAUUGUUGGUAUGGACCAUAAACACGUACCAUACUUUAAAUAAAGGUAAAUGUGCAGUAAAAUAAAUUCAUAAAUUAAAUUGCUUACUGUAUGGACGUUAAUUCCACAUCAUAAUUUAAAUAAUAAAGUAAAUAUGCUUGUAUGAGUAUAAAUUCUACUCCAUACUUUAAAUAAAAAGUAAAAGGAGUUGUGUGGACGAUAAACCUGUGCCACAAAUAAAUACUGUGAUAUGGAUAAUAAACCUACACCAUACUGUAAAUAAAGUAAAUAUUAAGAUAAAACCACCGCCGAAUAUAUAUAUCGGUAUAUAUAUAUAUAAGGUAUAUUCCCAUAAACUACGUGGGCCUUAUAUAAAAUAAGAUGUAUGCUUUAAUAUCAUACUAUAAUAAUAUUAUAUAUGGAAAUAGUCUUUGUGUAUAUGCACAUGCUUCCAAUCCUGUUGCUUUCUCACCUACCACUAGUACAAACUCUCUUUGUAUGGUCAAGCAUGAGGAAAUGGUAUUGAAUAGUAUAGAAUAUCAAUAAAAUAAAUGAAUAAGGUAAAGAGACAUAGAGCUUAUCAUUUUUUGGUGGCUUUGCUCAUAUAUCUGUCUCUUGAAAAAGUCAGCAAUUCCCUCUCUCUAGAAGACCACAACUCCUCUGCUUUUCUUCUUGAGAGCUUCUCGUGCUAAUAACGUGUUGUAAUAUAAACGGUAUAUGCGGAAUAUUGUGCUGCAUGUAAAGUAAAUGAGACACAAUAUUUAAUCAGAUUCAGCCAUGCCUACAUCCUCAAGGAGUAGCAGCAGUAACUUUUCCACUAUAUAAAAAAAUAAGACUACAAUUUUAGUGUUUACAAUCUCUCUGACUCAUUGAUUUUUCUCUCUUGAAGAAUUUCUCUCUGCUAUCUUUUCUCUUCUCUCACUCUCCUUUCCUUCUUCCUUCCUCCCUUCCUGGGCUCUCAUUUUCUUCUCUGAUAGUGUUUUUUUUGUCUUUGCAAGUAGUGAGGAUGGCCUAUUCAUAGACUAACUCAAUGGAAGCAGCCAAGCUUCAUGUGGGUGUGUAGAAAAUUCCUCAAAGAUGUGGCCGACAAAGAAUCCAAUAUGUGGGCUCCACCCACUAUCUUUGCAACAUGUUUUGCUUUUUUAGGGAAGAUAUGUCACCAAUUGUCGAAAAUUGUAACUGCUAUACAUGCAAGAAUCAUACAAAAGCUUAAAUCACUCACCUGCUCAAUGUCGCUCAGACUCUACUAGAAAUGUAUGUCAUCAUCAUUAUUCAUCUUUGUUAUCAUUGAUAGAUUCAUAUUUUGCAUAUAUAAUCUAUCUUUAUUUGCAUUGUUUUCAUGUGAAAUUGGUUAGUUUAAUGCGUUUGGUGAAGAUUUUGUAGGAAAUCAUACCUAGCAAGGCUUUGGAGCAAAUUGUGGGUAUCGGCUGGACCCUUGAGAAUACUUUCCUAUUUUUCCUUUAAAACCCCAAAGCAAAUUCCCUCUUUGACUAAGCCGCAUGUUACUUCCUUUUGAGAAUAAGUCUUAGUUUUUCUAAUAUUCCUAUUUUUCCUUUCCUUCCUAAAUAAAUAUUAUCUUCCUUAUUUUUGGAGGAGUCCCUUGGCCUAUAAAUACAAAGCGUUAACCUAAUAGCCAGGGCAUCUUUUUCCACCAUCGUCUUCUCUACCAUAUUUUUCCACCAACUUUCAUUCAACCAGAGAAAUAUCAGAGGAAGCCAAGAAUUUGCUGCUGCAUUAUUUGAGGAGCUUUUGAAGGUGUUCCUGUGAAGAUUCUGAAGAUCAAGUCCAUCGGCCAAAUUGGUUUUAUGACAAUAAUUCUCUUGUUUAUAUUUUCUUCUGUCAUGAACUAAUUUCCCUUGCUAGGGCUACGAUGUAGCCUAACCUUGAAUACUUAAUUUCUAUCGUUAUAUUAAUUUCUGAUUAUUAUCUCAUGUUGAGUAUUUGUUACUGUUCUUAAUGAUUUAAAUAUCUAGCUAAUAUUUAAUUGAUGAUCCAAGCGGAGACCGAGAGGAGAUGUUUGGUGUUUGCUUCUUGUAACAAAUACCAUGACUUGAAUGAGUGCCCGAGAGGGACUAACAUGACUCAUGCAGUUUUCUUGUAGGUUCUCAUAGAACUUAAUGGGUUCUUGGUUUUCUAAAUCCGUUGCUCGAGAGAGAAUGGGUUGUUAAUUGAGAAUACUUUUGGUUGAGCCCGAGAGGGGAUAUCGAAUGAAUUAGGAGAAACCAACUGUCAACAUGGAUAGUAAUUAGGGUUAAUUGGCUAUAAGAAUUAAGUAGAAUUGGUUAUGGUGAAGUCGGAUGCUCUAGUGUCUCAUCAUCUUAAUUUUCUAUUGUUAAUUAAAUUGUUAUUUUUCAUAAUUGUUUUAGUUUUCUUAAAAUUAAUCAAUCUUCUUAAUCAACUGUUCAAAUAAACUUAUGCAUUAAUCAUAAUUGGUAGUUAAUAGGAAAUUACAGUCUUCGUGGGAACGACACUCUACUUAUUUCUAUAUUACUUGUAUGGAUUGUGCGCUUGCAAUAAUUUCAUAACAAUCAUCAUCCAUAGUUGUCAUCAUCAUCAUCAGAUUGUCCUUUGAUUUUGCAGACAUAGUACUCACCAUUAUCUAGGAUUAUUCCGCUCAGUAAGGAAGACAAUUAAGUCCAGUAAUUUUGAGCAAUUCAGACAGGAAUUUGUUGAAGGUAGAUAUUACCAUGUUGUUGUAGAAACUGCUGCUGCCUGCCUGCAUGUGAAUUCGUUAUGUAAUAUCAACAUUUUAACUUUGGGAAGAGAGAGAGAGAGAGAGAGAGAGAGAGAGAGAGAGAAAGAGUGUGUGUGUGUUUGUUUUACAAUUAGAUUAGAUUGAUGAACAAGUGGAAUAGUGAAACGUAUACAAGGGUCACUUUCAAAUCAGUGUAAGAACUUUCUCUGUUAUCCCAAAUUUGGUAAUUCCCAAAUUCAAAGAGUUCUAGCUUCUUUUUUUUCUGCAUUGUAGCUUGGUGCAUGCAGGCUGUACUACAGCUACUAGUAAAUUUGAACAUAUAAAAUUGGAGAGAGUAGAGAAAACGAAGAAAUAAAGGUUACUUUGAAACCACCAUAUUCAUUCAAAUGCUCUUGUUUUCAGUGACACCAAAUCCAUGCUUUUUCCAUUGCUCUUCACCUACCAAUUCCAUUAAAUUGGCAUGUAUGUUUUGCCGAUUAAAGGUCGAAGAAAGUUCACAUAGGUUUUGUUUAAUGAGAUAUAAGGUUAUUACAUUUAAUUUCUUUUUCUGAAAUUCUUUUAACUUUCUUUGUUUUGAAAUUUGAUAAGCGUCAAAAUCUCAUUUGCUUUGAAGAGGUGCUCCUACAACAUACACUUCUCCUCCUCCUAGAGCUGGCAACAAAACUGCUAAAGCUGCCAUCACCAUGAAAAAAGCUACCACCAUCUUUUUUUGACCUAGCUGGUAUUGGAAUAUUAGUGAAUUUUUUAAUUGCAUUUUGAAAGUUUAUAAAGAGAAAAUGUCUACAGAUUAAGUUUUAUAGGAUAUAACGAUAAAGAAUGUGUAAUUUAAAAAAUUUGAACAAAAUUAAAUUUUUUUAUAAAAAUAUUUUAUAACUCUUUGGCCUUUGAAAGGUUUGACACUACGGAAUAUGAGGUAUGCAAGAUAUUGUGAAUUUUGAAAUGUCUUUUGGUGCUACAUUCAAACAUAUUGGGGGCCAACCUCAACCUUUCUAUUUUGUUAAUUCAAUCAAUAGUCAUGACUUCAUUAAUUCAUGCAUCUCUUUGUUUUUUUCUCUUUUUUUUUUUCUUUUUUCUGUUUCGUUAAUUCAAUAGUCAUAACUUCUAUAAUUUAUGUUAUUUCUCAGUAUCAUUGGCAGGCAAAUUUAGUCCUGUAAUUUGGUUUUGGUUUGGAAUCCAAAUCAUUAAUUUCACGAUAUCCUAUAUUUAUAUGAUCUAGGGUGAUAAUACCAAGAUAAUUACUUCAGAAUUCUAUUUGAUUUAAGAUCCUAUACAUUAUAGGAAGCUUUUUCAUUUUGAAUACAAACAAUAUUGGAGGAGAGGAGAAUCGAACCUAAGACCUCAAGUUCGCGGGUAAAUAUUCUUAACAAAUCACUUGAACUAUAAACCUCUUUCAUACAUUAUUCCAAGCUUAAUAAGUUGGAAUGACUCAUUCAAUUCUUUGAUCCUUGUCUCUCUCCUUUGUUCUUAUUUCACAACACCAACAAAAUUUAAGUACUUUGAGACAGCUGAAUUGUAUCUGUAUUCAGCAUUAGGGGUGCGGGACUCUAUUAUCUCAUUCUGCUGAUUUAAUUUUCGGUAGAAUUGGUUUAACCUAUUAUUAUAGCAUUAACAAAAAAUUUAGUGAAGUUACAAGAUUGUACUAGUAGAAAGGGAACAUCCAUGGUCUUUUUUUUUUCUUUUUUUUUUUUUAUACAAGCGAUAUCUACUUUAAUCAAAUCUAAACUACGGGGAGGGAAAGUCAUCCAUCAACAAACUUUGUUGACCACAGCAGCCCAACUCUAUAAAUUCUACAGUGUGAAACUCAUCCGGCUCAGCUAUGAGUCAACAAUAUAUCACUGAACUUGUGCUUUAUCAGAAGUUGAGCCUCUUCAACUAGCCUCUUUACCACCUCCCCUGCAGGUAAAAUUUCCUUGAUGAGGCCUACACUUUGGCCAGCAUACAUCACCAUGCUUUCAAUGUCACCAGUUGCAGUCACAUUUGGAACAGUACCGGCAAGACGACGAAUUUCUAUUUCC
rnacentral:lncRNA from 1 species